AUCUCUCUCUCUCUCUCUCUCUCUCUCUCUCUCUCUCUGUGUGCAUAUUAAAUUAUCACCUCCACAGUUUCUGCCACAAAAAUCCCAAAUGAAUCAAAACCUCUACCUCUUCAUCCUGAUCUUCCUUCUCUCAGAAACCCCAGCAUUUGCAGUGGACCUUUACUACCAAAACUGCAGCGUCCCCACAACCUGUGGCCGCCUAAACAUCAGCUAUCCGUUCUACAUCCCAGGCAGGCAACAAGACUUCUGCGGCUACCCUGGUUUCCAGCUCUCCUGCCACGGCGGCGCAGACGACGACAAAGAAGAAGCCUACCCACUUCUCCAGUUGUCUGGAGACGAUUACAUAAUUCACAACAUCAGUUACGAAAGACAGACUCUUGUCGUCUCAAAUGUUCUACUUUCGCACUACUUGGACAACUCUUCCUGCACUAAUCUCUCACUGAUCCAUAAUUUAACGCUCCCUAAUGAACAGUUUGAGCUGGCUCCAAACCAAGAUCAGUUCUUUCUGCUCCACAACUGCAGCCCUUCGUUUGUCGAUUCUUUUCCAACGUACAAGAUUGGUUGUAGUAACACUUCGGUUCUCUGCCUCGGCAGAUAUAUCCGAAAUUUGAAGGUCUUGGGGAGGUUGAAAAGUGUGGAUCGAGUGAGGUGCCGGUGGCGCAAGGUGGAGGGUAUGGGAAUGACGAGGCGGCGGGAAUGAAGGAAGUGUUGGGAAGAGGGUUUGAGAUGAAAUGGCUGGCUGGUGACUGCAGCGAAUGCCAGAGGAGUGGAGGGCUAUGUGGGUUUAACUACACCACCCACCUUUUUAGGUGCCUCUGCCCCAACAGGUCCUAUUCUGUGUUCUGUAGGGGCGACGAAGGUUAGUCUCUCUCUCUCUUCACUCUUUUUUUCUUUCUUUUUUACAUGCAAUAUGAAUUGUUAGAUAAUUACUACGCAGCAUACAUGAUUCAAGCUAGUUCAUUAACACAAUAUGUCGUUACACUCGAAUUCAAAUUCACCUUUAUAGAUUAAAGUAGUUUAGAAUAUCGUUUAAUUUUGAUACGGAGACAAUUUCUGGUACGGGAUAAUUGUCCCACUUGCCCAACUCUCCUGUGCAAAAAGUUGCAAAAUCUCAUCGAGUCUAACUCCUACCACACAUUAGAUUUCAAAGGAAGAAGGGCGGCUGCUGGCUGGAGGGUUGAAUAUAGCCACCUCUAAUCAAAUAUUAACGAAGAAGAUCGUCUGUGAAGUCGAAUCUGAACCUCUACACCGUCACGAUUUAACGUGAAAAAUAUCCUUCACGAUUAUUUGUGAUAAAAAUUAUUUGAGAUGCAAACAAUAGGUCGUCGUACCUAGUGCACAAGGCUCCCGCUUUACGUAGGGUCUGGGAGAAGUGAAUGUCGGCUAGCCUUAUCCCCAUUUAUGGAGAGGCUGCUCCCAAGGAGAUGCAAACAAUAGGUAUGCCCCCAAAUUAAAAAUGCUUUCUUGAUGGGAUAUUUGUUAGCUCUAAGUAAUUCUUUAGUCGCAUAAUCUUCCAGGAUAAGAUAAUUUAUUAGGGUUUUAGAACCAGGUUGUUGAUUACUACUCAGUCUGCAAGUCAACAUAAACUUUGAUUCAUGAACAAUGUCUUAAUUCACGAACAAGUUAAUAAAGACAUCAUUACGUGUAAACAAAAGGGAUUAACAUAAUAAAAUGAGAACGCUAAGAUGAUGGUAUUCCGAACCAAUAGUACCAUAUCAUGCAUAAAACGUAAAAUACAUAGCGUCAUGUUGUUGGUCUAGGAUGCUACGGUAAAAGGAUGUAAAUCCUAACAAGUUUAGACCCUCUAGUUGUAGUCACAUUGAAUAGCAAUCCAAUUAGAAAUUUGCUGGUUGUUGGUAAUUUCUUUCCUCAACAGCCAUUGUUGACUGAAACCUACCACUGUGCCAGUUGUUUGUUGCACUGCCUCUGUCGUUGGAGAUGAUCAAAGUUCAUCUUAAUCCCACCGUCCAGAACAUGAAAAAUCAUAUUAUCAUCAUUGUUCUGGAGACAAAAUGCACCCAAUAAACGCGUGGAAGCCACAUUCAAUUUGGCCAACUAGUGUGAUUUGUGGUUGCACUUUCAUCCCAUAAUUUUUUGCCACGGAGGUCGCUACAGUCGUAGGGCAUUGCGUUUUGUGAAUGCAACACUUGACCCAACGUGCGCACUGUGCAUUCUGAUGCUGCGCUAGUAGUCCAAUACUACUGGAUUGUCAAGUCGGACAUGACUUGGUGCAGUAAAAUCAACCCAGGCACGCAGGCACUUGUGGUUCACGAUUUUGAACUGAAGUCCUCGUUUGGUGUCUAAGAUUGAAUAUGUUAAUUACUAGAUUCAAUUUGUAUUCAAUAAAGGGAUGGAUGUCAACUUUCAAAUUGCGUCCAAGUUGAUAGUAGAAGUUGGAUUUUUUAUUUUAUUGAAACGAUAGUGAAUUUCAUUGAACAGGUAUAGUAGUAAAAGGGCGGCAAUAGCUAACUUAAUGUGAAUUACAAUCCUCAAACAUUAAAUUUAGAAUAAAGAUCGGAAGAGAGUCCAACCAAGCACAAGGGGAUUUGACGUGUAACCAUAACGAGCAAGGCGAUGGGCUACUCCGUUAGCUUGGCGGCAGACUUGGGUACAUCUAACAUUAGAGCAACUCCAUUGGUGCUCGAAAUGCCCAGGUAUGUGGGUUGAAUAUCCCCCAACCAAAAAAAAAAUCAUCUUCACUGGUCCAAUGUCAUUGAGGCAAUUGGAGCAAGGGUAGCAGCUAGUUGGGCUUCCCUGCCAAUUCAAGCCCGGGCUGCGUCUACAGGCAGUGGCCUACGUCAUAGCUGACGUCAGGCAGUAGACAGAGCGGGUCCACUCACCGAGCCAAAAGUCUCGCCCUCAGAGCAACUCCAGCCUUGCUGGUUGCUCGGGCGUCAGGCGAGGAGAAAGGGCCCUCGGGCCGGUGGGAGCAAAUCCAACGGGGAAGGGCCUGAGUGAGGGUGGGAGCUCGAGCGAAGGGGGGGUGGGGAGUCGACGGGCCUGUGGCCCGAGGGUUUGCAAUUUUUUAUUUUUUUUUGUGUCAGAGAGAGAGAGAGAGAAUGAGAGAUAGAUAGCUUUUGUAAUUUUUUAUUCUUUAAACAAACAAAAAAAAUUAUUAUUUUUAUUGCUUAUUGCCAGGGGGAGGGUUCCAAGGGUGGAGAUGUAAAUGGCAAUUACUGUUCAUUAAUGGUAAUUACUAUUCAUUUAAGGCAGUUACUGUUCAAUAGGGUGGAUUGAAUAGUGGAUUGCCAGGGGGAAGGGCUCCAUGGGUGGAGUUGCUCUCAGCGGUUGGAUUUAUAUCGGUCUUCUCAUCUAGAUCGUUGGAUUUCCAACUUUAAAAAAAAUGAAAAUUAUAGGUUGUGCCACAUGGCACAAUCUGGUACAUCUAAUUAAAAAAAAUUGGAAAUCAACAACCAUAAAUAAUCCAGGGGCAAAAAAAAAAACAACAAAAUUCCAAAAGAAUUGCAAAUCUUUGUAUUUAAAAUUCAGUCGGAGUUAAAUAUGGAGUUUCAGUUGAAAAUUUACGUUUGUGAAUGGUAAACAGUGGACUUGCUCUUAGUGAUCAAUGGAAGCUACCAUUUCAUAUCCUCAACAAGUUGUCCAAUUGGAGAGGAACUGGGCAGAGGAACAUUCUGUUGAAAUAUCUCACAUCGAUCGUAUCAAAGGCAGAAGAAGAGUUUAAAUACUCUAAUCCCACUCCAACUAACCGAGGUCUUUUGUGAUAAAACCCAACACCUGACGGAUUGUGCAGGUGGUAAUUACCAAGUUGGGCACAAUAUCGAUGUUGUUGAAAGUGGGUCAUAUGGCCCGUCUCUCUGAUAAUUCUGCACAUUCAAAGCCCCAGUAAUCUAAAAAUCAGUCUGCUUUAAAGCUAAAAUCUUUCCGUUGCUUCCUUUCUAAGUUCCACUAAUCCAUGUUCGUUCGAAAGCAAGGAUAAAACUUUCGAUCAGAAUCUCCCUAUAUCGAAGAACCAACAAAACGCAUCACAAUCGCAGGAAACCAGAAUCUCCCUAUAUCGAAGAAAUCACAGGCAAGAGACUAAGACGCAUGAAAAUUCAACGCGCUUUUCGGAUUCAACACUCUUGAAGAAUGGAUGAAAGACAGAGUAGAUAACAAAACCCAGAAAGUCGUGGUUGCUUCCGUAUCCACUGCGCCAACCAGCAAGACUAACUCCACAAGUCUUCGGGAAGGUAUUGUGGAUACGUUUUUCUCUCUUGUCCCUUCUCCUACUUACAUCAAGACCGCUACAGAAAAUGACAGCCACAAACAACCAAAUUCGUCAUGAUGUUUUACUAAAUUAAAUUCCAAGGAACUAGGAUAUUCUUUUCAGCUAUGGAUCCGUUCAGCGUUCACACGAAUAAGUAGACCCGAAAGCGAGACAGGCCGGACACGAAAGACCAAUCAUGUUUCACGACGCUACGGGUGAACACUGAACAGUCGAUCCUUUCCGUAAUGUGUGUGGUUCAGAGGAGUUUCGAGGAUUUUUGAAUAGUAUCAUCGUGACGAUAAUGGUUGAAGAGUCAAGGGGUCAAAGUCUUUCUGGUGGUGGUCAUUGGGGAAGUUGGGAAGGAAACUCCCUAAUAGGCCACGGAAGUCUUUAAGCCAACCAAUCAAACAGUGUGUAUCAAGCAACUUUUUACAUGGUUAGUUUCGACUAGUCUUCCGUCUCCUAAUUUCCAAGUCAACUGGCGUGUUAAACAGCCAAUUUUUUUGAUAUAUUGCAAACAAAGAAUUCUGAACCUCUAAACAAUUCAACACUCUUGUUCUGAAGAGGAGGAGUAGAUUUUCUUAUUGUUCUUCCUUUGCGGCGCUUUCUUCUUGUUGAUCAGCUGGGAAUUUUCGGAUGGCUCCGGUGGCUUUGUUUAUUCUUGCCAUUCUUGCUCACCUUGUGGUUCUGCACUCUGCUCAUUCAGCAGAGGAACGCGCCAAACAUUGUCCAGUCCACUUCUGCGGCUCAGCAGGCGACAUCAGCCUCCCCUUCAAAAGCAUGGAAGAUCCUCCUGAUUGCGGAAUGUUCACAGUCAAUUGUUCAGACACCGAACGGCCAAAAAUCCAAUUGAAAGAGGGAGGAUACUGGCAUGAAUUCCAAGGCUCUUUAUUUUCACCUUCGAUUUCUAUCAAUGACAGAGACCUUGCCGACCGCUUAGAAAAGGAUCGCUGCGAUGAUGGAGUUUUGGACGACUUGAGUCUUCCUAGCGCUUCUCCAAUCCUUGAAGUACCAUUAUUCACACACAAUUUGACCCUUUUCAAAUGCAACACCACCUUAGACAAAAAUUCUUACCCACAACUUAAUUAUGGCUGCGGAAAUGAUAACCAUACUUAUUAUACCGCUUCAUUUAGCAGUAGUUUACCUAACCCCCAGCUGCUAGGGUGUUCAACCAUUCAGGUCCCCAUGCGUCCGUUUAAACCCAAGAACUUAUCUUCAUUGACUGCUGAGUUUAACCUGGAAACACCAGAAUGUUUUCAAUGUAUUGAAAGCAAAGGUGAAUGCCAGGUUGAAGAGGGAGAAUUUAAAUGCACCAAAGGUAUACAUUUACAUGACCUUUCUUUCUUUCUCUGACGUGCAAUAAUCCGAUUCCUUUCUUCAAAGGAUAUAACUCUUAGAAACAGGAAACAGUUUAUUGAAACACACAAGUAUUAAAUGAUUGUUAUGUAUGCAUUAGCCUCUUCUUGUUCUUCGAAUGGUAACAUUAUUUAUGCCAUCUUCUGUGAUUUAGCUAACAACAGUUUUUUUUGCAAUUCAUGUUGCAGGAGAUAAGCAGUUGAACCUGAAGCUAGGACUAGGUAAGAUUGAUAUCUCCGCAUUUAAAUAUCUAAUUGAUAUGGAUACUCAUCUAGGACAAGCGACAGAAGGACAGAAAUCAAUCAUUCUCCAAUGGCUCUGGAUUAAUUUUCUAAGAAUCAUGGGAAUGAGCAAGCGUUUAAACAUGUUGCCAAAGUCAAUUGAUUGCUCUCCGUAACAUACCUUCGACCAAAUUUAACUCUCCUUUAAGCACCCCCAGUAUAAACUCCAUUUUAACUGUCUCUCCCACUUGUAUUCUGUAGGAAUUGGCCUUGGAUUUCCAGCACUUCUUGCUAUAUGCGUGUGUCUUCUGUUGCUUUACAAGAAAAAACGCUCUUCACUCUUCCUCUCAAGGAACAUUUCUUCUCAGCCAUACACAAAUUCCGACAUAGAAGGGGGCGGUGCCUACUGUGGUAUCCCGGUCUUCAGCUACAGUGAACUCGAUGAGGCAACGAACCACUUUGAUAGCGAAAGCGAACUUGGAGAUGGAGGUUUCGGAACUGUCUACUAUGGUAAGAGCUAAUCUUCUAUAUAUGUGUUAAUUUCCGAAAAAAUAAAAGAAAUCAUUUACAUUAGGCAAGUAAAGAGGAAGUUAAGUUGCAUAGUAUCUGCAGCAGCUUACUCUUUGAUCAAUCCAAUAUAGGAAAACUCAAAGAUGGUCGGGAAGUUGCAGUCAAGCGCUUAUAUGAGCACAAUUACAAACGCGUUGAACAGUUCAUAAAUGAAAUUGAAAUCCUCACCCGUCUGCGCCACAGAAACUUAGUCUCCCUUUAUGGCUGCACCUCACGCCGCAGCCGUGAACUCCUCCUUGUUUACGAAUACAUUUCCAAUGGAACCGUUGCUGAUCAUCUCCACGGAGACAGAGCAGAUGGCUCACUCACUUGGCCUAUACGUAUGAGCAUCGCCAUUGAAACCGCCGACGCAUUGUCCUACCUCCAUGCUUCUGAAAUUGUACAUCGCGAUGUGAAGACUAACAACAUUCUGCUCGAUGACAAUUUCUGCGUUAAAGUUGCAGAUUUUGGCCUCUCCCGGCUCUUCCCCAUUGAUGUCACGCAUGUCUCAACCGCUCCACAAGGGACACCGGGUUACGUUGAUCCAGAGUAUCACGAGUGUUACCAGCUAACUAGCAAGAGUGACGUUUAUAGUUUUGGAGUUGUUCUCAUCGAGCUCAUAUCAUCGCUUCCGGCAGUUGAUAUAAUGAGGCACAGGCACGAAAUUAAUCUGGCUAACUUAGCCAUAAGCAAAAUUCAGAAGGGUUUGUUCAACGAGUUGGUAGAUCAACGUCUCGGGUUCGAAUCCGAUGGUGAAGUUAGAAGGAUGAUCAUUGCAGUUGCAGAGUUGGCUUUUCAAUGCUUGCAGCAGGACAACAAUGUGAGGCCUACCAUGAACGAGGUUUUGGAGGCUUUGAAAAUGAUCGAAAGCGGGAGUUAUGUCCCUGAGAAUUUAAAGCCGGAACCGGACAGUGAGAGUGUGAAAACGAGUGUACAGCCGCCAGCUUCGCCAGAUUCUGAUGAGAUCGGGCUGUUGAACGUGAGACCUCCGCCUUCGCCGGUUUCCGUCACGCAAAAAUGGCCUAGCACUAGGUCUACUUCACCUAAUGCUAGUGCGUGACAGUUUUCUUUUUUUGUGUGUUACUUUUCAGUAUAAAGAAUAUAUAUGAAUGCAUUUUAGAUUUGAUUAGGUGGGUAAAAGGGCGAACUCAAGCCAAUAACGCUUCCCGUUUUGCAAGGGUCAAGAGGGGAUAACAUCUAUCGUACAUAACUUUAACUUUCUCUUGUAAAGAUGUUGUUUCUACGACUCGAACUCGUGACAUUUCGGUCAUAAAAGAACAACAUUUCCGUUGUACAAGAGUCGCCAUCAUUGAAAAACACAUCUAAUUAGUACUUCUAGGUAAAAGCUUGAGGGAUUUCACCUAGUGCUAGUGCGUGACAGUUUUCUUUUUUGUGUGUUACUUUUCAGUAUAAAGAAUAUAUAUAUGAAUGCAUUUCAGAUUUGAUUAGGUGGGUAAAAGGGCGAACUCAAGUCAAUAAUGCUCCCCGCUUUGCAAGGGUCAAGAGAGGAUAACAUCUAUCGUACGUAACUUUAACAUUCUCUUGUAAAGAUGUUGUUUCUACGACUCGAACUCAUGACAUUUCGAUCACAAAAGAACAACAUUUCCGUUGUACCAAGACUCGCCAUCAUUGAAAAACACAUCUAAUUAGUACUUCUAGGUAAAAGCUUGAGGGAUUUGUACAUAUUAGAUGGAGACAUUGUUAUUAAUAUUCAUAUUUUAUAUGUAUAAUUUUGAUCCUGUAUCGUUUUGACUCUUCAUACUUGCGUUGAAGUCUAUGUCUUUUUCCUUUCUGCUUCUUCUGAUAUUGUUUAUUAACCAAGUUUUGAUUGUUUGACAUGAUCAAACACCUCCUUUACUGAUGAGUAUAUUUUAUAUUAUAUAUUUUACCCUAAUUUUAGUAUAUUUUGGUUAAUAUUUUGAAAGAAUUUUGAUACUUUGAAUUGUAUUUUCAAUAAAGGACUUUCGACUUCCUCUGAAGCAAAACAAGAUCAAAUGGACGAAUUUUGGAGAAAUUCCAGUUGGAAGACGUUCGUGAGUCACUUAGCUUGAUUGUAUCAAAAUCUGGGAUUUUUCCACCAAGCGGUUAUUUUCUGGCGAUAAAAUAAAGGAGCGAUGCGCAGUGCUGGAAAAUAACGUUUUUGGGCUUAAAUUGCGUUUUUGGAGCCCAAGAUGACCUCGGAUGGGUUCGUGGCCUUCUGGAGAAGUGUUCAAAAUAUUUCAAACAUUAAAUUCAGCUAUAUUGGGCUAGUUUUGGAGCAGCUUAUGGGUCCAAAACGUGGCUGUUCAGAUUUUGGACGAAUUUUAUCAUUUUAAUUUAGGGUUAUGUUUUUUUAUGGGGAUUAGGGUUUGGUGGUGGUUUAGGAAAUAUAUUGCUUGGCCGUCUACCAUAUGUCGGGACGCUUUCUUUUAUGCAAUUUUGGAGACAGAGAGAAUUGCUAGGGUUUUGAAGAUUUUUGACUUGAAGGUGUUUUCAAUCCUUUUCUUAAUAAUAUUUUCUAUGAUUUCAAUUAUGAAUAUGCGUAACUAAUUUCUUUUGCCUGGGCGAAGCCUUGAGCCUUAGCAUGAAUAUGUGAUUUUUAUUUAAUUGCUUAUGAUUGAUUGCAUGCAUACUUUGAAUUGUUAAUCACCGGGAUAAAAACUAUCUAAUCGUCUUAAUACCUGAUCACCAUUAAGAUCUUUAGAAAAGUAAUUUGAUGCAAUUUUAGUCAGAAUGUUCCCUGAAAUUGAUGUUAGCUUCUUACAAUUAAUAAUUGUAAUUUCACUUUAGAAAAGUAAUUUGAUGCAAUUUUAGUCAGAAUGUUCCCUGAAAUUGAUGUUAGCUUCUUGCAAUUAAUAAUUGUAAUUUCACUUAGGAUGAACACCACGUCUUAAGGGUUGCUUGGUUUUUCAAAGGAUUUUCAUAAAGCAUAAUGAGUAUUUCAUGUUCAGAUUUGAUCCGAACGUCCGGACGGGUUGCAUGUUAGAUAUACGUUAUAUGUUGGAGGUUCCAAGUAGAAUAUGAAUUAGGAAAAUCUAACCUUCAAAGUGGCAUGUGUAGAUCAUAAGUAAUUGGUAAAAGUUCAUAGGAUUUCUAGGUGAUGGUGAAACCCUAGUGCUUUCUUAAUUUUAUUUCUCCCAAAAUUGUUUUCUUUUCCUUCUAGUUUUCAAUAUUGCAAAUUGUUUAUUUUAAUUAAUUAAUUUCGUUUUUAUUUUAAAUAGGUUAUAAAAUCAAUCACCUCAAUUUAUACUUUACAAUAACUAAUUGGAAUUUGGUUUGCUUCAAAUUAUUUAAUAAUCCCUGUGGAGAAUGACCUUGCGAGAUCUGUUUAUACUACAACAACCUUGUGAUUCUUGCAAGUAUAAUAGGAGUUUUUAGCCCAUUCACAUGAGUAGUAAAAUCCCUAUCAACAGGAUAGUAAAGCUGACAUAAAUGACAAAAUGUUUUACAUUUGUAGAAUUCUAAAUUACUCUAAUUUAUGUAAAAAGAAUUUAAACUUGAAUACUCUGGUCUAAACUAUGUUAAAAUAUUAGAACUAGUAUUUCAUCAAUCAUUUAUAAUACAGUAAUGCUUCUAAAAUUGGAUUUUUCAGAUGUUUGUUUGGUAAAAAGAAUUCACAUUGCGUUGGUGAGGGUUAGGGUAAUGACAACAUUGUUGUUCUUGUUCAAGAAACCUAGUGUGCAGGCUACAGCCUAGAAAAUUGAUUUAGAAAUACGGGCCACCUAACUUGCAGGCUAGUUAGAUAUUAUAUUUCAGAACUGGAUUUCCUCCGGAUCCAAUAAAACUGAGCUUGCUGAGUAAAUGAUUCGUGGUGUUGAAAUUUGAUCUACAAUUAUUAUAACUUUUAAAGGACCCCAUGUUUGUAAUCAUUGAAUCAAAUUUCAACGGUCUGGAUCCUCUGCUCAGCUCAGUUUUAUUAGGUCCAGAGGGGAUCCGGUUCCUUAUAUAUCCAACAACAUCCUCUUCGGAGGCUUUUGGUGAGGACCUUAGAGAUCCGUAGAUCGUGUAUCGUGCGAUCAAUUUUUAUUAGGUGCUGUUUGUGUUUAAUUUUAAAUAAAAUAUUUAAAAUAAUUUUUAACCACACAUAAACAGACACGAUUCGUAAAUUCUUAGAAUCCUUUUAAAUAGAUUCAGCAAGGAUCCAAAUUCAUUACAUAUAUAUAUAUAUAUAUAUAUAAUAACACACUGACAUAUAUUUUAAUUUUCUUACCCGACAAAGUUUGCUAGUAAUAUCGUUACAGUGUCCUUACCAAGAAGUAUGAUUCUCUUUCCUCUUUUUUUCCUACUCUUAUUUACCCUCUUAAUUGAACGGUCACAAUUAAACUACGUAAAUAUCUUAUAUUAAUUUUUUAUAAUAAUAAAAAGACAAAAUAAGAGAAUGUGAGAUAAAAUGAUGAAAAAAAAAGAAAAAAAAAGAGAAGAUAAUCCUCUUCCCUUUACCAAUUCUCCUGGUUAGACCUGACCUUUCAAUCUUCUUCAGUCAAAGUAUGAGGUGGUGUCGCCUCUUUUUCAGAACCCUAUAUAGAUUUUCAGAUUUUGGAUUCAGCACAUUUGGAAUUUCACUUGGAAAAUGCACCCACUUUCUCUCUCUUUUUAAAAUUUGUGAAAAAAGAGAAAAUUACCAAUCAUUACUUGUCAAAUUUAUGAAGAGAUUUCUUAUUAUGCUUAGAACACCAGACCGCAGAUUAUAUGUUAAUAUAUAAUUAACAAAAAUUUGUUCAAAUAUUUUUUUAAUUAUAUAAUAAUAUAUGUUGUAUCGUCUCGUAUUGUAGACAGAAAAAUUUGUCUAAUUUAUUGAGAGAAAGGAAACUAUUCCUGAACUUGCUCCCACCUCACUUUUUUGACAUAACAUUUUAUAAUUUUGACACGAAAUUAACGUUAAACACGUUUCAGAAAAAGCAUAAAGAGUCCCAUCUAAAAUUAGAGUGUACUUAGCAUUUUUCAAAAAAGUGUGUAUAAAAAAUAUGCAUCCACUUCCCAACAUAUGCUUUUCUCCAUUUCACAAGCAAUCAAUUGUGUCUCAGUCUCUCCCCUGUAAUCAUUCUCCAGUUUAAAUUCAAAUAUUCACCCCAAAAUUCACAUGUAUAUAUAUAGAGAGAGGAAUGGGAGUUAGCAGCAGCAACAGACCUCAAAUCCAAAAGAUGGGGACUUUACAGAAAUUCAAGCUCCUCGCCACGCAGUGCGGCGUGGCCCAGAGCCCGACGCGAAGCCCGCGGACGAGCCCGUUGAUCCAGUUCCGCCGCCGCAAACCCACCUUGCUGAUGCUCCUGACCCGGAGCAGCAGUCGCCGCCGUGACCCGCCUGUUCCGAUGCCGCUACCGGAGAAGAUUCCGCUUCAGAGGAACAGUUUGAAGGACCUGUUCGUGUCGUCGCCACCAUUUGAGUUGAACGACGGGAGAAAGGCGGAGAGUGAGAGAGAUAAGCGGGUAGAGUCGGGUAGUUUGUUGGUGGUAGGUAAAGAAAUUGGUGGAGUUGGACCGGGCUCCCCUAGGCCGGCGUGGACCGGUUUCCGUUACAAGUCGUUACUGAGAAGGGCUUGGCGCCCUGUGCUCGUCACUAUUCCUGAGUAAAUUAAUUAAAUAAUUUAAUCUUCGUAAAAUAUUAUUAGAGUUUUUUUUGUUUGCUGUGUGGUCGGCCGUCUCUCAUGAUCCUGGUCCAAAUAUACCGAUACAAAUCGAUCUUGUAUUGCAUUGUAUAAUUUGUAGCUGCCGUCCUUGGACUCGUAGUUACAAGCAUUAUCGUACGUUCGACUUUAUGAUUUCGUUUCAAUUCUCCAUUUUUUCGUGCCAUUAUCGUUUGUAUUAAAAAAUAUUUGAACUCGUGAAAAACUGGAACCUCUCGCAAUAUGGGCAAAAGAAAUACGUUUGAAUUAGAACUACUUUGAAUAGAAACAACUUCCGAAAUGAAGGGGACGGAACAAGAACUAGAGGGAUCCACCGAAGACGAUCCUUCCCUUGUUUCGGAAGAAAAAGAGGUUCGAGACAAAAUCGAUGAAAUUUCAUUCAUUCGUGACCAUGCACGCCAUUACCAUCCUUUCGAGGUUCCUUUCUAAAGUUAAAGUGGCUAAAGAGGCCCAGGACCAUGAAUGUUGGGAGAACAGCUUACACUACACAUGCUAAAGCAAGUCUUCCCUUUGGGAAAAAGAAAAGUUGCAAAGAGCUCGAUGAUUUCGAAGGGACUUUUUUCAUCUAUUUUGUUAUUUAAUUCAAUUAUUACAGAAAAAAAUCUUACGAUCAAAAGGUAAAUUCAAAAAAAAGGUGGAGUCCUUCCAUGUCUUGCCGCUAGCGGCUCUUUGGUUCCAAGGGGGAUUGGAGUCUGAUUUGUUUGGGCUUGUGAUUGCCGCAGCGCAGAGUCAUUCCCCGCUCUCUCGGUACCUCCAUUUCCCUGGUGAGGUUCGGCUUGGCCGACAGAGUUAGGGUGGCCUUCUGAAUGCUCGUUUUCUAGAAGUACAACCCUCCGCAAGAACCUAUCUAUCAUCUCGUAACUGGUAAAUGUAAUAACGGCAGAUGGAGUGGUUCUUAUUAGAUUAGUAGCACAACCAUUAUAGAAUCCACGAAGGCCUUCCUUUUGGAACACCUUCUUUAUGCAGUCAAUUACUCCUGCAUACUGGGUUCCAAUGUGUCUGGCCUGCCCUUGCUCUUGCAGCCUCGAGCGCACAACCUGGAGAUAAUUGAUUCAGUCAGGACAACAAAAUAAAAUAUGAGAAAGAAAGACACGACUCUUAAGAGCAGUUUACUGAGAAGUUCAUGCUCAACAUACCUCGUGAGGGUAUGUUAUUACAGAAGCGAUUACUUUUGAUACCGAUGAGGCAAAGGCAACUCUACUAGGGUGUAACUUAUCAACAGUUGUAUUAUCUGAAAAGUUAAAUUUAUGGGGUCAGAUAUAAUUAAUUAAUUAAAAAACACUGAAUUUUCAAGUAAAACAGUUCAUCAAAGAAGUAAACAAAUAACAUUUACCCCUUUUUGCCAUGAAAGACUUUAUCUUUUCAUAAGCAGGAAAUUGAAUUGCAACAUGACUUACUCCAGCCAAAGAAGGCAAGAUCCCACUGUUUGAAACCACACAUGCAAACAAAGAGGUAUCAUUAAGGGAAACCACGCGAAUAAAUUUUAAUCUAAUCAAUUGAGCAGAAUUCCUUUCACCGAAUGGAAAAAAAUUCGAUCAGUAUUUAAGCAAUAUCAAAUAUAAAAUUCCCAGUUUAGUGUCAUAUCCACAUGAUGUAACUUGGAAAGAAAAAUGACCUAUAUAAACCUCGCAAGCCUUCCUCAGUUGUAAUCCUUGAGAAAGCAGAUCUCAUGCUUUUGUAAGGAAUCACACCAGGCCUCAUUCCUUGUGUCUAAACGAAGGUGAUCAAGAAGAAAAUAUCAAUGUACAAAAAUGACAAAGUUCAAACGAGCAAAAUUAAUCAGUGCGGAGUCCUUGAGAUUUUUCUAAAUCCAUGAGGGUUGAGUUUUAAGUCAGAAGGUAACAUGUAAUUAUGUGGAAGAGAUUCAUUAGCCUGGUUAGACAUUGGUUAAGCAUCAACCCCAAGAAUAAAAUAUGCCCGGACAUUUCUCAGAAAACCGUAAACACUAUAGGACCAUCUCUAGCAAAUAUGAGUCUGCAUAGUUGAACUAUUUACUAUCUUUUAUUCCCGAUUUUUCAUAGUUUACUUUCUCCUGACAUCUCAAGUCGAGGACAUGAUAGAAAAAACAACGUCUCCAGUCCCAGUCAAACAGAAUGCCAUAAAAUAACAGGUCAUUGUGCUAUAGAAAGCAAUAAAAUGAAAAUCUUAAAUGAAUUACAAACAUAAAAACAGUAAACUUACUUGAAGUCUGGUCUUAACAACCCACAAUGGAUUUGUUGAAAUGGCUGUGGCAGCCCCGGCACCAGCAGCAGCAAUCAUAUUUUCACCAAUUGUGAGUUCUCCGCUGCCAUGAACUACAGUAUGACCACAGUAAAUGUUUAAAAACUAACUGAAUACUAUUAUAUAUUACCCAAUGCUCUACACUAAAACCAAGAAUAUGGGAAUACUAUGCGUCUCAUAAGAAAUAAUUAGAGACAAACAUAAACUUUUAAGUAAGCCACAUUUGGAAAAACCAACCAUGAGAGUGGAGUAGGCCUUUGAGUUGCUCAUAAACUGUGAAGUACACCUGCAUACGAACAGAGUACAUAUGGCUCCAGGAAAAUUAUAAAAAGUAUACAGGAAAAAAAAGUAGCAUGUGAUCUGACCGAGGGCCCCAAAAUCUUUGUGAACUCAAGUUUCCACAAGAUAAGGGCUCUCAAAGAUUUGUUUCACAAUAUAAGGCAACAAAAGUAAUACUCACUGCCCAGUUUGGAAGUAGCGCUAGAAUUGUAGGUGAAAGGCCCCGGUACAUCCCCUUCACACCUUCUGUCUUUAAUAUUUUUUGUAGGCUCGUGACAAUGAUACUACCUGAUCAUAGGCCAAAAGGAAAACAAAGAAGAACAGUUAUACUGAUAUGUGUAAGUAUGAACCAUAUAUACUACAAAUAGAUCGAUUGGAAAAUAUCCUCGAAAUGGCAAUGAGCCAUAUAAAAAAUUUAUAGAACAAACACAAAGCCACCUGAAGCCGGUUCACCAAAUAACAAGAAAUGUGGCAUACAUCUGGUCAAUGCAAAUUUUCUCAUAUAUACGAAUACACUAGAGUUCACAAAACUGAAACUUUAAUCCGACUACAAUUCCUUUCCCCCUAAACAUGUGCUCCCAUAGUCCCAAUGAAUCUAAUAUCGUCAAAAAUCGAUACUUGCAAUCGAUAAGUUCCUUAAAAUAAAUAAAAACACAGAAUUUCAUCCCAGAAUUGAUAAACAAAGCAUAAUUUGUUCAAGGGAAUAAUAAAGCUUCGUCUCUGAAAAUUGAAGAAUACCUCUUUGACCAGAAGGCAUGCCAUGGACCUGCAGCCUAGUCUUGAUGACAUCUAAGGGGCAUACAAAUGUAGCCGCCAUAGCCCCUGCAAAGCUUACAGUUCAAUCAAUUUGCAAUAAAUUCAUCAGAUUUGCAAAUGCGUGCCCAAAUGAACGAAACCCUAGAAAUGGGAAUCGCAGAAGAGCAAAGGAGGAAGAUAACUGACCAGCGGAGGCGCCAGCACCGGCGUGGCAGAUGACAUCUCUGAUAGAUUGGCGAUCGGAAUGUUCGGCCACAACACCCAUCGUCGUCGAAGCCCUCUCUAGCCUCCCUCUAGAGCUGCUUCUUCAAACUCAAAUCAAAGGUAAUUUUCAUGGCCAGUCGCAGUGUGUGUAUGUAUAUACAUACAUGUAUAUAUACUGAUUUGAUAAGGGGGGGAGGGGGGAGAUUUGGGGUCGGAAGUUCUAAGGACUGUUGAGAGUCAGUAUUCUGGAGGUACGACGCCGUCGUCGUCGCCGCCUGACUUGUUUGAAGGGGGUUAAGUGGUGGAAAAUGACGUGUCAGGUACGCAGAGCUCUGCUUCGGAUUUGGAAUUUGGAAAUGGGAAAUGACGAGGAGGAAUCCGUCGAGGAAAGGAAACUAGAAAACUAGCAAAACGGCUAUUUUCUUUCUCGGAUAGGUUAAUUUCUGGCCAAAAAUAUAAGUGGGUGGGUGCAGGGUAUCGAUUAUUUAAAUCAAAUUUUGUAAAUAAUAUAUUGUAAUUGUUUAUGAUUGAAUUAUUAUUUAUAUUGAUGCAUUAUAUAAUUUGAAAUUUUGAUCGAAAAAAUGGCUCUACUUAACGUUAUUCUUCAAUUAAACUCAAUUUCUGGCUAAUAGGCAUGAAUGUGAUACACAUUUUAAGACCACUCAACAAUCAUCACUACAGUUCGAUGGUAUUUCUCUAGUGAAUUUUAAAUUCGGUUGUUAAUUGCGUACUUGAAGUCAAAAUAUUAUUGAUAAUUCUGUCACAUCCCGGCCCGGGACAGACCACUUCCCGGGCCUGCUCCACCACCGUAGCACGAUAUUGUCCGUUUUGGGCUUACCAUUCCCUCACGGUUUUGUUUUUGGGAAUUCACGAGCAACUUCCCAGUGGGUCACCCAUCCUGGGAGUGCUCUGGCCUCCUUCUCGCUUAACUUCGGAGUUCUUACGGAACCCGAAGCCAGUGAGCUCCCAAAAAACCUUGUGUUAGGUAGGGAUGAGAAUAUACAUUUAAGGAUCACUCCCCUGGGCGAUGUGGGAUGUCACAAUCCACCCCCCUUAGGGGCCUGACGUCCUCGUCGGCACACUUCCGCCCAGGAAUUGGCUCUGAUACCAUUUGUCACAUCCCGGCCCCGAGCGAACCACUUCCUGGGCCCGCUCCAUCACCGUAACACAAUAUUGUCCGUUUUAGGCUUACCAUUCCCUCACAGUUUUGUUUUUGGGAACUCACAAGCAACUUCCCAGUGGGUCACCCAUCAUGGAAGUGCUCCGGCCUCCUUCUCGCUUAACUUCAGAGUUCAUACGGAACCCGAAGCCAGUGAGCUCCCAAAAGGCCUCGUUCUAGGUAGGGAUGAGAAUAUACAUUUAAGGAUUACUCCCUUAAGCGAUGUGGGAUGUCACAAUUCACUAUUUAGUGUACGUUAAAUCGUAGUAUUUAAACAAAAAGAUAUUUCAUGAAUUUCUUCAAUUUACUUUUUGUUUUUGAAUUUUGAGAGCUUAUGAUAUUUUAUGACUAUUAUAACCUUUAAAUGUCAAAGAGUUUAAAAUUUAAUUUAAAAUCAAGGGCAUUAAUGUAAUUCAAUUCCAAUUUUAGAUUCUUCUCACAUUUCCCUACAUAUGCAUAGCAUUUGUAGAGUUUGCUAGUGUAAAUUUAUGAAAACAAAAUUUCGAUUUCAAGUACAUAAAAGUUCUUUUUUUUGGCUCGACAUAAAAUUUACAUUACUUUAACCAAUUUAACUUCCUCUAAAUUUUUCCCUAGUUUUAAAAUUUGUGAUGUGAAAGACAAAUAUGCAAAAGUAUGUUUAUUUUGUUUUUGUAUGCUGAGGUAGCCAAUGAUGGAUUUCAUAGCUUGAGAAAUUCUUGUCUAUUGACAUUGGCCUGCUUUACGAGGAGAGAGCGUUCAAUUAGAAAAUUUUCAAUUUGCUGAAAAUCGGAUUCAAUACAUAAAGUGUUAUAAUACAAGUAAUUAAGAUUUGAUAUUUCAAUUAUUAGUAUUAUGACACUUAUUGUAUCAGAUCGUAUUCUUGACAAACUGAAAAUUCUCUCGGAUCAACUAACUAUCUCAAUUAAAAAAAAAAGUGACUUUCCGACAAACAAACAAAGUGAUUUUGAUUUGAUAAUGCCACAUAUUUUUUCUGUUACAUUAUAACAACAAGGUUAUUAGGCUUUUCUUCUUCGCUUGGGUCCAAAGUCGUAAAGUCAGAGAGGCCCAACUAAUUAUGGGCUGACAUUCAAAAGGUUUAAAGAAUUCGGCCCAAAAAAGAGCAUGCCAAAAGCCUAGAAACACAGACCAAGUACCGGUUUGGUACUGAGAUACUUUUAUAAAAAGUGGGUAUAAAAAAAAACUGAGCUAAAAAAUGUAUUUGGUAAAUACUUAAAAACAGCUUAUUUUCACAUUUUUUUGUGAAAAAAAAGCUAAAAACGUGAAGCAGCAAAAAUGUGCUUAUUCUCACAGCACAAUAGAAACAGUUUUUUUUUCAAAGCACAUCAAUAACAAACCAGCUAUGAAGCACCUUUGGCAAAUUACUUUCACCAAAGAGCAUUUAUGCUAAAUUUACACAAGAUUAGAAGAACAACUUAACAAUGUCGACAGAACGUUUUGUGUCAAUCGUACAAUGUUAUAUAAAAAUACUCAAUAAUUAUAUCAGCUUAUUAGUAUGAGACGCCACAAUUACAGUAUUCAAAUUUCUUGUCAAUCAUAGAGGAAAUUAGACAAUAAUGAGAGUUAAAAAGGAAAAGUAAAGGUUUUGGUUUAGUGGGCUUAAAACCAUCACACACAAAAUCCCCUACCGGACAAGUUCACUUCUUGGGGUAUCUUUCAGCAAAGAUAUCAUGAUUUCGGGGGCCCAGGCGGGUACGCAGUGGCUUUCUGACCGUCUUACGUGGGGACGAGUGAAUUCGUAUCCUCGUCGGAUUUUCUUUACGAGGAUUUCGAAAAUUCAUAAAUCAUAUAUUUUUAUGGUAAAUAAUCCAAAAAAUUCAUGAAUCAUAUCCAUUUAUCGUACAUCGUAUAAUCAGAAAUCAUUUUAAAUAUUUUUAUUUAAAAUUAAAUAUGAACAGUAUUUGACAAAAACUGAUUACAAAAUGUUCGAUGAACUAACACGAUUUACGAAUUCUCAAUGUCCUCGUAAAAAAAUCCAGAAAAUAUCCUGUUGGGGGACGAGCAUGGCUGUAGGGCCCAGAUAGGCCCAUUCUCCCAGCCUGUACUUGCCCGGUUCCUCAAAACCAAAAAACUAUUUUCUAUUUUUAAUUUGGUAUUUUUCAAAAAUACCAAAAGGCAGAACAGUAUGUGAAUGUGGACGAUGGAUCCGAGGCACCAACUGGAAAAUUCCCAAUCUCAGUUUGGUAAGCGGUUGUUGAAGACACCUAUAAAUACAAGUUGGGGAAUAUUCUAAAGCGUGAUUAAUUUGAAAGACAUUUAAAGUGUCAAUUCAUAUUUAGGGAAUUUGUUCUUCAUCUGAUAACGAAGGAAAAGACAUAAACAAAAAAUUCGGUAAGAUUAUCUGAUUAUGACUACUCUCACACUAAAUAAGAUCUAUGCGAGUUCAUAAGACUAAAAUUUAUAAAGUUUCAAGCAUUUGCGGAGGUGUCCUACGAGGCUACGAAUAACGUGAUCGGAAAUGCUUUCUAUAAGUUUUUCUCCCAUUUAUCAAUCGAGUACUUGGUAAUGGAAGAGCUAGCACAUGAUCAUUGAUUGUCCUUGAUCCUAACAACCUCAAAAACCUCAUGUAUAUUUGUAUGUGUAUUGUAUUUGACCCAUUUAAACAAUUAAGGCAAACUAAAUUACAACCUCCUUCUUCUACUUCUUAUAUUUUUUUACUAUCAUAUUUGUCUUCCUUUUUUCUCUUAUUGUGUGCAACCCUAUUGUGCGCCCCAUGUGCUCCAUAAAAUCCCUUAGUUGACAAGCCUUGACAGUCUUCGACAUCACGCUACAAUAUCUUACAUUCACCCUCAACAAGCCUCUAUACAUAAUAGUAGUUGUCGAAAUAUGUUACCAUAAGUAUCGGUUUAUGUUGACAGAAAUUACUACGUGCCUACUAAGUGUUCUACGAAAUGACCAUGUAAAGCUAUUUUUGGUUUAUAUGAUGAUCAUAUUAUUUAAAAAUUAUGACUUCGCCAAUGAUACUUUGAUAAAAUCUCUUUCAUUUUCAUAUGAUGCAACACUUAGCACAUGCAAUAUCGGAUAGCGGUAUUGUUCUUAUCUUAGUCAAUUCAUAAGAUGCCUAUUAAAACCUGUACCAGACACAUCCGUUCCAACUGCAACUUUCCCAUCUUCAAUUCAUUAUGUACUCGAAUUAAAUUGCACUGUCAAUAUUGUUCACAAUUUUCUACUCUAAUUGCAGCCACAGACACACAGCCGCUUUCACACUCAUACUGAUCUUGCAACUUGCAUAUACUAUAUAGUUUACUCGACAAGAGAUUCUACUGUGUCAUCGAUUGCAUACAUUAGUGUCAGUGUUUUGAUCAGGAUCAUGUAAAAAAUUGUGUAUACUAUGUAGUUUUUUUCGAAAAAAAUUCUACUAUGUCACCGAGGGCAUACAUUAGCAUUGGUGUUUCUCAUCAGAUCAGGUAAUGAAGGUUUAUGGAAACACACUAGGCAAUGAUAAAGCACGCGUAAGAGGAGUUUGUCUUUACUUAAAGAAUGUUGAUAACAAAUCAAAUCACUUGCAUUAUAUUAGUUGCCCAUGUGAUUUUGAUCGAGUAUAUUUUUUAAUCCAACUUUUUCGUGUUUAAUAAAAUUCAUGAUUUCGAAAUGUUACUUUAAAUAGUUAAAAGUGUGUGAAUCUCAAAAUAUAAUUAACGACCCCAACUAAAAAAACUAGAAACUAUAUUACACGUCCAUUUUCUGUCUUUUGUAUUUCUUAUUUUUUGUUCAGAUUUAAUUUAGUUCUAAUUAAUGUUUUUCGUUCUAAGUAAAUAGAUAAUUAAUAAGAAAACAUGAAAGGAACUCUAUAGUUUGGCAGCCAUAGUUGGGAAGGAUUGGGCGGCGAGUACAUAGUCGAUGAAGUAAAUACAACCCAGGUGGUUGCAAGGUUUCUGGAAAACGACAUUUCUUUUGUAAAGUAGGUAUUUUGAUAACUAAUUCGAGUCGAAAGGAAAUGUAUUACGGAAGAAGACAUAUUUGAUGAAUGAAUGAUUCAAUCCCGGAUUUGGAUCCUCGUCGGAUCCUCUUCUUGGGAAUCCUAGGAAUCAACGCACGUGGACCGUUGAUUAAAAAUUGUGCAGCCACAAUUUUUUUCUUUUUUAAUUUUUCACGCAAAACGAGGCUACUUUACUUUUAAAAAUAUAAAAAGCAUUUAAUUGUGGCUAUACGAUUUUUGAUCAACGGUUCACUUGCGUUGGUCCCUAGGAUUCACAGAAAGAGGAUCCGACGAGGAUCCAAAUCCUUCAAUCCCCUCCCACCCACACGGUUCCUCUAUUGAAGAUGUUCCACACUUCCACUUCUUUUAUGUGAGGGGGGCGUUUUCCUUGAAUUUUACGUAAAUCUCUCUGAGAUAAAUAGUCUUUUUUUGGUGCCUUAUCUUGUCUUAUUGUUUUAAUGUAUCCGAACAACAAAGUUUACUAUUUGAAAUGAAACUAAGAUAGAGUUGGAUCUAACAUUGGAUACCAUCAUAUUAAAAUUAAGUAGUUGGAUUAGCCCCAUGAGGGCUACAAGCCUGCAUACUGCAACCCUACCCUGCAUAUGCAAAAUUUGCAAAUACGGUAUACGUAUGGCCAACUUAAUAACUCCACAACCCACAUGCUGCCGCGCUUAAUCAUCUAAUUAAUUAUACUUAAUCACAAACACACAACAACGCUGAAAGAAUUAAAGCAAUUUAACAACAAAAAUACAUAUGAAAAUUGAGAUGAGAGGAAACGUGGUCCUCCCUUUGAGAACAACCAAUACAAAAUUUAACGAGUUUACCACCGUGUCACGUUCUCGUCUAAUAAUGCAAUGUAACAACGUUGUACAUAAAAAAAUUACUUAAUAUUAUAUUAAAUGAGCAGAACAUUGCGGUAACAAUGAACACGUUGUAUGUCAAAUUGCAUCACCAACCAUCAUCAGCAUUGGCAUUGACUAGGAGGGUGGGGACAAGAAAAAUCCUCGAGUGAAAAGCAAAGGGUGACCCUACAAAGCUGAGGCUGAGGGGCUACAGGUAAACAGGAUUUAGGGUUUACAGACAUCUGCAAACGCAGCAUCGCACUUAUUUAAUUGGAACCGAAUUCCCUCCAGAUCCUUUAAAACCGAGCUAACUAAUCAAAGAAAUCGAAUCAUUAAAAUUUGAUUAAAAUGAUAUAAUUAUUAUAACUUUUAGAGAAACUUCUUAAUUGUAGUUUUUUGAUCAAAUUUUAAUGAUCUGGAUUCAUUGAUUAGUAGACUCAAAUUUGAAAGAUGGAUCCGGUUCCCAUUUAACCACAUGCAACGUGCUCACUGUGCACCUUGUCCACAUCAUCGCCAUCACAGAAACACAUGCACCUCGUCCACAUCAUCGCCAUCACUUCUUUCGUCCUCUUUGUCACCUUAUAUUUAUAACAUAAUUUUUAUGUUAAUAUUAUCAAAAUGUAAAAAAUAUAAUGUAACAAAGAAUACAUAAAAAAUCAAGUUAAAAUUUUCUUAUUAUAAUUGUAUAUCAAACCGUUUUCGACAUACUGAAAAAUCUAUUAUACCUUAAGAAUAAGUAGAGAUACUAUUGGAUCUUUCACUCACAGAUAAGUAAAUAUCCUAAACUGUGAAAAUAGGUGCACCAAAUGCUCUUAACAUUGAUUAGCUUAACAAUAAUUUCCCGGAAAACUCUCCUGCAAGAUCUGUUAGGUAAACGACCAACCUUGUGAUCCCCUGUUUUUAGAGCAAUCACAAACAACCAACAUAAUUUCUAUGUGGACCCAAAUCUCUCUUUUGUAUCCCCUCCACACUAGUGAACUUUUUUCCCGGGAAAAAAAUAAAAGCCUCUUGCUUUUGGCUUUUUGCUUUUGGGGAAAAACAAAUUGGUUUCGGAGAAAUAAAGAAACCGACUUUUUUCAGAAGCAAAAUGUGGGUUUAUGGAUGCAUUGCUUCAUAGUCAGCCGUACCACUUUUCUGCAAUUUCUCUUUAGAAUUUCGAUCAAAAUAGUUUGCUUUUUUGCCACCAAUUUCUCUGCCAUUUCUUUUUCACCCCAGAAAGUUUGGAUUUUUUUUUUAAAUAAUCGUGGGUGUUCGGUGGGAAGGAAAAGGUUGUGAAGCUGCUGCUGACUCGCAUGAAUUCAAGGUUCAAUUUUUUAAUCGGAAGAUUAAGGAUUUGGGGGUGUUUGAUUUGAUUAAUGGGUCUUACAGUUCAUACCUCGUCACCAAAACGCGUUGCGCCACCGCCUUGAUUUAUUUAUUGCGUGAUUUCUUUCUUCUGGUGUUGUCGUAGUCGUCGGCGUUGCUUAUUACUGUCGCAAUCGGAUCUGCUUUGGUUUCUCAGUCAGACAUUCUCUUUCCUGUCGCUUGGAAUCUUUGUUCAUCUGUUUGGUUGCCGAGAAAUUACGAACAAGAAAAGGUGAGAAAAAAUGUAGAAUAAAACGUAAAUUUCAGUUCUUUGUCUUCUGGGUUAGCUGAAUACAUGCUUAUUAGUGACGUUUUACUUCUGUUUUGUAUGAUUUCGGUUGCCAAAUGAUGGAAUAUCCAAGAUGUAACCUUUCCCGUUUUGUUUUACUUACAUAUGUCGGCAAGUGAGACAGCAUAUGGUUGUUGAUAUAACCAAUCUGUUGACGUUGUUCUUUGUUUUGUCUUAUGAUAAAUGCAGAUCAGUUGUUGAUUGUGAAAGAUUCGAUCUUUCGUUGUUAGGAUUGGACUUUGUGCUAUUUGUGCAAAGAAGUUCGUGGGUUUUGAGGUCAUUGAUUACGAAAAAUUGUAGGAUCUUUGUGGUGUUUUGCAUUAGUAUGCUAUUGAGGAAAAAAGAGUUAGAUAGUUUGAAGGUCUUGGGCCUCCGGCAAACACAGCGGUGAGGUAGUUAUGGCGUCCGGAGAUAGGCGUCAGCAUCAUAAUAUGGUGCCUCUGGCUGCAUUGAUCAGCAGAGAGCUGAAGAGUGAGAAGAUGGAGAAGCCAACUGUCAGAUAUGGGCAUGCAGCUCAAUCCAGGAAAGGGGAGGAUUAUUUCCUGAUCAAGACUGAUGGUCAGCGAGUACCCGGGAAUUCUUCAUCAGCAUUCACCGCAUUUGCGGUAAGCCCAAGUCUCUUAUAUUUGCUAGAUUAUAGAGCCAGAGCUUGGCAACUUAGCUCUGGUAUGUUGUUGUACCAUGGUGAAUGUCCCAAAAGUUGAAUACUACAUAUCAGUGCUCACCUCUAUGCUCUAAUCAUUUAGUUCCUUAGUCCCCUGUCUUGUUCACUGUAAAUUUUUGAUCCGGACUAUAUUAGUUUGUUCCCUUCCAACAUAGGCAGUGAACGAGAUAUUUUUCGAAAAUUUCAUGUACUAUUGGUUUUAGAUUAUGGAAUGAAUCCGUGUGCUCAAACCAAUUUCCUUUAGCUAUCAAAUAUGCUGCAAAUCAGGUAUAAUAGUCACUGUUCUUUUACUGAUUGUCAGAUCUUUGAUGGGCACAAUGGAAAUGCUGCAGCAGUAUAUACAAGGGAGAAUUUGUUAAAGCAUGUGUUGGGUGCUAUUCCCCGUGGGCUAGGAAGGGAGGAGUGGCUCCAAGCUUUACCUCGAGCCUUGGUUGCUGGGUUUGUGAAGACUGACAAGGAUUUCCAGAGCAGAGGUGUGGAAUUUGCAACUUGCUUAGUCUUUUUGUUCUUCUUUCUGUUUUUUCCUCAUAUUUUUCAGCACAUACGUACUAAUUCUUUCUACUCUUAUUAUUGUCGCCAGGUGAAACUUCUGGAACAACAGCUACCUUUGUAAUAGUUGAUGGAUGGACCGUGACAGUUGCAUCAGUAGGAGACUCCCGUUGUAUCUUAGAUACUCAGGGUGGUGCCGUUUCCACCUUAACUGUUGAUCACAGACUUGAAGAAAAUGUAGAGGAGUAUGUAUCUACUGAAAUCUAAUAACAUUCCUCUAUUUUUACUGUUCCCUGGAUUUGCUAAUUGAAUAUCUGAUUUGUAAUUGUAGGAGGGAGCGUGUUGCUGCAAGUGGUGGGGAAGUUGGGAGGUUGAGCAUUGUUGGUGGUGCAGAGGUGAGUGCUUUUAGAUCUUUUUUUCCCUGACGAAAAAAAAGAAAGGGAUACUUCUGUGGCUAUGUUUUAAUUAAAAUAUGGUUUUCAUUGUGUAAUAUGUGUUGCUUGACAUUUACAGAUUGGUCCCCUCCGUUGUUGGCCAGGGGGGUUAUGCCUUUCUAGGUCAAUUGGAGACAUGGAUGUUGGGGAGUUUAUAGUUCCAAUACCAUAUGUGAAACAAGUCAAGGUAUCUUCCUCUGCGUGGAAAUUAAAUUUUUAACUUGGUUUUAUUAAAUUCAAUGCCAAGUAUUGUUUAGCCUGAAAGCUAACAUUCUUAUAUUGUUUUAAAAGCUAUCAAAUGCCGGUGGGAGGCUUAUAAUUGCUUCGGAUGGCAUCUGGGAUGCUAUAUCUUCCGAAAUGGCAGCACAGUCUUGCCGUGGGUUGCCAGCUGAACUAGCUGCCAGACAAGUUGUGAAGGUUGUUUGAACUACUUGGCCUUUUUCUUGCAAUAUGCAUGUAUAAUCUCAAAGGCUGGAACUCUUUCUUAUUGAUGAUGGAUUGUGUUGUAGGAGGCAUUAAGGUCAAGGGGUCUAAAGGAUGAUACAACCUGCAUAGUUGUUGACAUAAUCCCUCCUGAUACUACGGUAGAGCCUUCACCUCCGCCAAAAAAGAUUAACAAGUUUAGGACCCUGUUUUUCAGAAAGAAAUCGUGUGCUUCUGCUAAUAAACUAUCCAAGAAGCUAUCGGCUGUGGGUAUUGUGGAGGAGUUAUUUGAAGAAGGGUCUGCUAUGCUUGCUGAAAGGUAGUUGAUUCUCUCUUCACUCAAGUUAGUUGAUUCGAUGCAAAGUUUCUUGAAGAGUUUCACUCCGGUUGUCUACUAAAAUUGGAAAAGAAAAUUUUCAACGAUGUCAUUAAUUUUAGUCUUGUAUAGCAUAUCGAAGUGGAGUUUCAUAUAUAGGUAUCAUAAACCUUAUUGUUGAGUUGCAAGUUCAAAUUGCGGGUUGGCUUCUUGUGAAAUGUGGUAUUUUGGUAUCGUUUAUUUGGUGUUGCACCUGGGAAUGAUUAUCAAUGUCAAAUGUGUUGCAGGUUGGGCAGCGAUGAGUGCACACCACAAUCAACAUCUGGGCUGUUCAUGUGUGCUGUAUGCCAAGUUGACCUUGCACCGAGCGAGGGCAUAUCGGUUCACGCGGGUUCUAUCUUCUCAACCAGUUCAAAGCCUUGGCAAGGGCCGUUCCUCUGUUCUGAUUGUCGUAACAAGAAGGAUGCCAUGGAAGGAAAACGCCCUAGCGGAGUCAGAGUAGCAUAGGUAGCUUGUGCAUUGUUUCGCCACCAUUCUUUUAACCCUUUAGUCCCUUUGUUUGGUAAUCCGUCUUCGUAGGCCAGCCAAUAUUGUUUGAAUCUUUACUUUAGUGAUACAUGAAAUGUAUAUGUAAAUUUGAUAAGUAAUUUGGAAUGAGUUGUAGAAGUUGAGGAAGGUCUUGUGCAAGGAAACCUCUUUCGAGUCUAUUUUGUCGGGGUAUUGGGCAAAACAAAAGUGUGUCGAACUCGAAUACAAUAAUCGUUACUAAAAGUAAAUUAACAAAUGAACGGAAGUGAUUUUCUGUUGAUUUGUUCAAUCCGAAGGCUAGAAAAACAGAGAAACACGAAGGCGCCCAGGAGGAGAAAGGAAAGUGCGAAAAUCACUUCUAUAUUGUAUAACUGAAUUUUCCAAGUUAGGUCUUGAUUCUAUAUUGUAUGGGAGACUUUGAAUCAAUAAUAUAUGCUGUGAAGAAAUAAUACAAGUAGGUUAUCCAAAAGCCUUGAGUUGCUAUUGCUAUUGUAUUGUAUUGUUAACACACAACAGAAUGGCUCUGUUUCUUUUCUCUGUUGUCGCUCAACCUUCAAAAGCAGGACACAUCCUCCUGAAUGCGGAUUGUUCACUGUUGAUUGUUCAGACCAGCUUCGUUCGAGGAUCCAACUGAAAGAGGGAGGAUACUGGCAUGAAUUCGAAGGCCCUCUAUGAUCUUCGAUUUUUAUCAAAAACACGGCUACAGGAGCACUAUGGAUGAAAUUCCUGCAAGGAUGAAGUUUUCGACGACUUGAACUGGAUGAAGAAAUUCAUUUUCAGAGUGUUAGGGACGAAGAAGACAAAGUAAGAGCGAGGAAGAUGAUCUUAGAGAGCUUGUGGUGCAUAUAAACUGAUCCUUCAAACCAGCCAGCGAUGAAAGAAGUAUAGAUAUGUUGGAAGGGAGUAUUGAUUCAUUGCAGAAACCAUCCAAGCCUCACUUGUCUUCUCCUCCAAAGAUCAUACGGUUUUAGGCUUUUAGCACCCAAAAAAAAGAAGAAAAAAAAAAGCAGAGGGUUUGAUUUAUCCCCCAAAAAAACCAUCUACAUUCUGCAGUCCACUCAGGAACAAGCAAAGAAACAAGACUUGGCAAGCAAGCAAUUAACAGAAUCACAGGGAUGACAAUGAAGCUAUGAUCAGUUUUAUCAUGUCAUGUGAGCAUAUAUUUCAUUUUAUAACAAGAUCAUUGGGGCCUAUCGCAAAUUCAUGUCCAAUCCAACCGUAUCUUAAAUUUAAUGUUGAAGCCUCGUUCGGUAUGGAGGAUAAGAUUGGAACGGAUAAUUCUCUAAUUUCAAGGAACUAUUAGGACAAAAAUGAAAAAAUUAUGUCCAACGAUGCGAAGGUUACCGUGUCAAGAUAAGUCAUGCCAAGCACGCAAAACGUCAGCAAAAUGCGUGCCAUGACAUGUCAUCGCAUGCCAACAAUGAUGUUUUGGCGCGCCACGAUGCGAGGGUUAGCGUGUCAAGACAAGUCAUGGCAUGCAUCUUUUAUUUCCACAGCUUUUUACCGGUAAAAACACGUUCCAUAUCUGAGCUGAGUAUUUACACAUGUUCUUACCGGUAAGAACACGUUCAAUACUGGAGAUGAAUAUUUACUUGUGUUUUUAUCGGUAAGAACAUAUUCAAUAUCUGAGUUGAAUAUUUACACAGCUUCUUACCGGUAAGAACACGUUCAUUAUCUAAGUUGAAUAUUUACGAAGGUUAUUACUAGUAAGAAUGCUUCAUUAUUUCCUAGUUCUUUACUUUUUUUUUAAUUAUUCCGAAAUAGUAGGCAAAAGUGCGGAACCCUAGUGCCUUUUCUAUUACUGUUCUUUCAAAACAUUUAUUUUCAAAUUGGUUUUCUUUAGAUUGUUUUCUAGUUGAAUUUUUAAAUUGUUUUUCUUAAAUUCGUUUAUAUUAUUAAGUCAUAAAAUUAAUCUUUUUCAAACCUUGUUUUAAAUAGUUAAUUAAGAAUUAGUUUAAAUACAAAUUAUUUAUUCAUUUUUUUAUGGAGAAUGAACUUGUUUAAGCCGUUUAUACUGUAAUUACCUUAUUCUCUUAAAAGUAUUUUUAUCUUUACUUUUGCAGGUGGUAAAAAUCCUAUCAGUUAUCCAAGUGCCUUGAGUUGCUAUUGCUAUUGUAUUGUUGUUAACACACAACAGAAGGGCUCUGUUUCUUUUCUCUGUUCUCGCUCACUCUGUGCCUCUGGCUCUUUACUCCGCCGAACAAGUAAUGAGAUGGCAAUAUCCGCUUCCCCUUCAAAAGCAGGACACAUCCUCCUGAAUGCGGAUUGUUCACUGUUGAUUAUUCUGACCAACUUCAUCCGAGUACCCAACUGAAAGAGGGAGGACACAUGCAUGAAUUUGAAGGCCCUCUAUCAUCUUCGAUUUUUAUCAUAAACACAGUUGCGGGAGCACUUUGGAAGAAAUUCCUGCAACAAUGAAGUUUUCGACAACUUGAAUUGGACGAAGAAAUUGGUCUGCAGAGUGUUAGGAACGAAGAAGACAAAGUAAGAACGAGGAAGAUAUAAACUGAUCCUUCAAACGGGCCAGCGAUGAAAGAAGUGACAGAUAUUGGAAGGGCUUGUUGAUUCGUUGCAGAUACCACCCAACCCUUACUUUUAUUCUCCUCCGAGAUCUCUCGCAUAUUCUUCUACCAUGCUGGUAUCAAUAAAGUAAAAACUAGAAACCUUGUGUUUUACUUGAACAAAUUAUGAGCAGCUCUAUAUUAUGCAUUUCAUUUUUCUUUUUUUCUUUAUUAGGAGCAAGAAAGAUCAGACGAUUUUAGCACCAAAAAGGAAAGAGCAGAGGGUUUGAUUUAUCCCAAAAAAAAAAAAAAAAAAAAAACCAUCUGCAUAUGAUUAGUUAAUCAUGACGUGUGAGCAAAUAUUUCAUUUUAUAACAAGAUAGGACCUAUGCAAAUUCAUGUCCAAACCAAUAUUAUCUUAAAUUUAAUAUUGAAGUCUUGUUUGGUACGAAGGAUAAGAUUGGAAUAGACAAUUAUCUAAUUUCAAGGCACUAUGGAGGAUAAGAUUGGAGUGGAUAAUUCUCUAAUUUCAAAUGAGAGGAUUAGGAGGGAUGAGUUUUUUUCAUACCUAAUCAUUUUCUAUUCCGUUUUAUGUAAAAAAAAAAUAUUAUUUAUACCUUCAGUAUGCCUUGAUAUUAGAAAAUUAUCCAUUAAAAUUCAAUCCUAAGUACUAAACAAGCCAAUCUCUAAAAUGAAGACAUUUUCUGCUCACAUUAUUGCUCAUUUGGCCAUUGACCAAGGAAUGAAAAGUACGCAAAUUUUGGUAUUUGCCGUGUAUCCCCGAUAUGUUUUAUGACCGAGGAAUGAAAAGUAUGCAAAUUUUCUACUCACAUUUUCUACUCACCUUCCAACAUCUCAACAUUAUUACUGUACUGUAAUUCGCUCUCAUCUCUCUCUCUCUCUCUCUCUCUCUCUCUCUCUCUAAAAUUUACAAUGAAUCAAAACCUCUGCAUCUUCAUUCUGAUCUUCCUUCUCUCAUCAGAAACCCCAGCAUUUGCUGUGGACUCUUACUACCAAAACUGCAGCGUCCCCACAACUUGUGGCAGACCCGAAAGCGAGACGGGCCGGACACGAAAGACCAAUCAUGUUUCACGACGCUACGGGUGAACACUGAACAGUCGAUCCUUUCCGUAAUGUGGUGGUUCAGAGGAGUUUCGAGGAUUUUUGAAUAGUAUCAUCGUGACGAGAAUGGUUGAAGAGUCAAGGGGUCAAAGUCUUUCUGGAGCUGGUCAUUGGGGAAGUUGGGAAGGAAACUUCCCUAAUAGGCCAUGGAAGUCUUUAAGCCAACCAAUCAAACAGUGUGUAUCAAUCAACUUUUUUACAUGGUUAGUUUCCACAAGUCUUCCGUCUCCUAAUUUCCAAGUCAACUGGCGUGUUAAACAGCCAAUUUCCUUAAUAUAUUGCAAACAAAGAAUUCUGAACCUCUAAACAAUUCAACACUCUUGUUCUGAAGAGGAGGAGUAGAUUUUCUUAUUGUUCUUCCUUUGCGGCGCUUUCUUCUUGUUGAUCAGCUCGGAAUCUUCGGAUGGCUCCGGUGGCUUUGUUUAUUCUCGCCGUUCUUGCUCACCUUGUGGUUUUGCACUCUGCUGGAUAUCCAGAAGAACAUUGUCAAGUCCACUUCUGCAGUAGCUCAGUAGGCAAUAUCAGCUUCCCCUUCAAAAGCACGGAAGAUCCUCGUGAAUGCGGAGUGUUCACAGUCAAUUGUUCAGACCCCGAACGGCCAAAAAUCCAAUUGAAAGAGGGAGGAUACUUGCAUGAAUUCCAAGGCUCUUUAUUUUCACCUUCGAUUUCUAUCAAUGACAGAGACCUUGCCGACCGCUUAGAAAAGGAUCGCUGCGAUGAUGGAGUUUUGGACGACUUGAGUCUUCCUAGCGCUUCUCCAAUCCUUGAAGUACCAUUAUUCACACACAAUCUGACCCUUUCAAAUGCAACAAAAAUUCUUACCUACAACGUAAUUAUGGCUGCAGAAAUGUUAACCAUACUUAUUAUACCGCUUCAUUUAGCAGUAGUUUACCUAACCCCCCUGCCGCCAGGGUGUGCAACCAUUCAGGUCCCCAUGCGUCCGUUUCAUCCCAACAAGUUCUCUUCAUUGACUGCUGAAUUUAACCUGUCAACACCAGAAUGUUUUCAAUGUAUUGAAAGCAAAGGUGAAUGCCGGGUUGAAGAGGGAGAAUUUAAAUGCGCCAAAGGUAUAUACAUUUACAUGACCUUUCUUUCUUUAUCUGACGUGCGAUAAUCCGAUUCCUUUCUUCAAAGGAUAUAACUCUUAGAAACAGGAAACAUUUUAUCGAAACACACAAGUAUUAAAUGAUUGUUAUGCAUGCAUUAACCUCCUUUUUUUUAAGGGCGGCUGCUGGCUGGAGGGUUGAAUAUAGCCACCUCUAAUCAAAUAUUAACGAAGAAGAUGGUCCGUGAAGUCAAUCUGAACCUCUACAUCAUCACGAUUUAACGUGAAAAAUAUCCUUCAUGAUUAUUUGUGAUAAAAACUAUUUGAAACUUAGUCACAUAAUCUUAUUGGUAGUGUGUGUAAUUCUGUAUUAAUCUAGUUGUCCUAACCAAAAUUUUAAAUUUGGUUUUUGAUUAUGAUAUGAGAUAAUGAUCAUUGUGCAGGACCUGGAACUGGAAACUUAGUCGCUAAAUUCGCAAUAGGUAAUUAUAACUUGCUUAGAUUAGUUUUUCUAAGUUUAUGUGUUGUAAUAAGGUUUAUAGCAUGUCCGCAAUGGCUACCAUUCGAUCGAAUAAAUCAUCGUAUUCACCGUAUAUUCAUCAGGUGCAGUUGCUGGUCUCAUAAUUCUAAUCGUUAUUGCUUGCUGCUUAAGAAGAAAGUUGUCAUCAUACAGAUUGCUUUUCUUUUGGAAGAAGCAAAACCAAAAUCGUCAAAUUGUAGAGGCCUUUCUAAGGAGCUACGGGCCGCUUCAAGUCCGAAGGUAUAGCUAUUUGGAGGUCAAGAACAUGACCAACUCCUUCAAAGAAAAAUUAGGACGUGGAGGCUAUGGUGCUGUUUACAAAGGAAAGUUAAAGGACGGCUGUCUUUUAGCAGUGAAGGUCUUGACCAAACUAACGGGAGAUGGAGAAGAAUUUAUGAAUGAAGUGGCAGCCAUUAGUAGAACUUCCCAUGUCAACGUCGUCUCCUUGUUAGGCUUUUGUUUUGAGGGUUCCAAAAGAGCUCUCAUCUAUGAAUUCAUGCCUAAUGGAUCCCUAGAGAAAUUCAUAUUUGAUUCAAAUACUCCCAAUAUAGGUCAUGAUCACUUGGGAUGGGAAGCAUUGGAUCAAAUUUCACUUGGCGUUGCUCGAGGCUUGGAGUAUUUACAUCGUGGUUGCAACACAAGAAUUUUGCAUUUCGACAUCAAGCCUCACAACAUUCUUCUCGAUGAAAACUUCGUGCCAAAAAUCUCAGAUUUUGGCCUUGCCAAAAUAUGCAACAAGAAAGAGAGUAUUGUCUCGAUGUUGGGCGCUAGAGGUACAGCAGGUUACAUUGCUCCAGAAGUAUUUUCUAGAAACUUUGGAAAGGUCUCACACAAGUCGGAUGUGUACAGCUAUGGAAUGAUGCUUUCGAAUAUGGUUGGGGGAAGUAGGAACACGGACGAUGAAGCUGAAAAUACAAGUGAAAUAUAUUUUCCACAUUGGAUUUACCAACGUCUUGAAUUGGGACGAAGAGCUUUGGUAUGCAGAGUAUUUACGAAUGAGGAAGACGAAGCAAGAGCAAGGAAGAUGAUGAUAGUGAGCUUGUGGUGCAUACAAACUGAUCCUUCAAACCGGCCAGCGAUGAAGGAAGUGAUAGAUAUGUUGGAAGGGAGUGUUGAUUCGUUGCAGAUACCUCCCAAACCUUACUUGUCUUAUCCUCCAAAAUCCCCAGUAGAUUCUUCUACAGCAUUGGUAUCAAUGAAGUAGAAACCCUGUAUUUUACUAGAACAAAUCUAUGUUUUUCUGAGGCAAUCUAAAUAAUGAAGCAUGCGUUUCAUGUUUGUUUUGUUUUUGUUUUUAUUUUUUCCUCUAUAUAUGAAUCAACACAGUAGGAGUGACCCUACUACUACCCCUCCUGCAAUCAUCUAUAAAUAUAUAUAUAUUACUAAUGUGAAACAUUUGCAUUUGUGGGUCAGACCAGUUGACCAAGUCAGUGUGCCCGUUUCAUCUCCCUUGCGCCCAAGUUCGGAUCCACUUCUCCAUAAAUCAAAGCAUUUUAGAAUAUUUUUGUCAAAAAAAAAGGUGAAAACAAUUAUUUCGUGUUAAAAGUUGUCUACCAUACAGCUAAAGCUAGGAUCCAACUUAUUGUGCGAAAUUUGAUGUUGUCACGAAUGGAAUGAUCGAGUAGAUGGAACAGUUCUUGCGAAGCCACGUGAAUGUAUUUUGACAAACAGUGAAGAGAAUUGGAGUCGUGUUGAAUUUCAAGAUUUUUGGAGUACCUUUGGCAAUGAGUGAAUAGGCAAGUACCCCAUUACUUGAAAAGUUGCUGUAUGGUGGUGCUUGAUGAAUUUUCAAGCGAAAAACGUAUUGCAUAUGAUCAACCUAAGCAAAACUAUCCAUGCACACUGUCAAUCAAGAUUUUUGGAGUACCUUUGGCAAUGAGUGAAUAGGCAAGUACCCCAUUACUUGAAAAGUUGCUGUAUGGUGGUGCUUGAUGAAUUUUCAAGCGAAAAACGUAUUGCAUAUGAUCAACCUAAGCAAAACUAUCCAUGCACACUGUCAAUACGAUUGACCAAAAAAAAAAAAAAAUUCAAAAAGUGAGUAGUUGAAAAUAAGCUCACUUUGAAGAGAGUCUCAAACUGAUGAAACUGCAAGUCGGUGAAAAACAUUUGAAAGAUAACAAAAUCAUGGUUACAAAAUGACGUACAUUCAAGAUAUAAACUUUUGCAAGUUGUAUAUUAUGCUUCCUUCAACCUCGCCCACCCUACACAUAAAAAGACAUUAAAAUUAAAGUCGUCUCCGAACUCUAAGUGCACUUGUAUUAUUCUGAGGGAUUAAACCAUUCAUUUCUACGAUCAGAUCCUACUUUAGAACAAAACAAUCAACGAUAUGGCUCCAAAGUAAAACGAAUUAACAAUCGAUUGAUGCUACUUUUGAUAACAUUUGGACAUGUGAACAUCAAAGUUAUAUCAACAAGCCACACACGGCUAUCAUGAGUUUUCAUGAAAUUUGUGUUUUGCUAGAAUUUUUGAAAUGCACAUGCCGUAUCAUUAACAAAGCAUAUUUUAAUGGAUCUGAUUAUCUCCUCUCCAUCACUCUUAUUCGAACGCUCAAGAAUAAUUCACACCAUCAUCUUGUUUUAUCUUCUCUGAAAAAAGAGAGAAAACCGAGAGACUAGAGAAGGGGAGGAAGAGGAGGAGAAAAGGAACGAGAGAGAAUCCAAUUUCAUUUUAAGGCACUUUGUCAAUAUCAUAUGUGAAAGUAGUAACCUUAAGCAAGAAAUGAUAGAUUGAUUUUAUUCUUACUUUUGAGACAAAUCUUUAGUAAAGUUGUUUGACUAAGACAACUCUUGAAUCAAUAUAAAAUUGGUUAAAAUUAAAAGGCCAAAUAGUCAAAAUGGUCUCUGAAACUUGCAUAAUCAAUAGAAAUAGUUAUUGAGAUUGAAAAUCAAUAGAAAUAGUCAUUGAGAUUGUCCACCAUCCAUGAUUUUGGUCAUUCUGUUAAAAACUCUUUGGACAAUUUUCAAGUUUUUGUAACUCAAUCGAUUCUUAAUUAAAUUCGACCCAUAAUAUAUCAAAAUGAAGAUAGGAAAAUGUAGAACAAGAUUAUACAUAUCUGAAAGCCCAAUGGUUGCCGGAGAUAGCCAGAAAAUAGCAUGAAAGGUGAAUGGUCCGCAGGAAAAUUGGAAAACUCGCUGGAAACCAGGUAAAUUUUAAAUGUUCAUAACUUCUUCAAUACUCAACGAAAUCGAGUGAUUCAAAAACGAAAAUCAUACUUCUUGACGAGACGAAGAGAAUAAUACCUUUCUCGAUGACUAAAUCACCAUGGUUUAGCCGGAAACGGUUCAAAAAUGAAUAACCAUUUUCGAGUUUAACUCAUCCGUGUAUCUUAUAACUUGUAGACAUCAUCUUUGUUAAACAAAUUAUUGUCAUGACUAUACAUAACUGUGCUCGUAUUAAUCAAGCGUGGCUGUUAUGGUCAAUCCACAAGAAUCGUAAAUUAUAAAUAAAUAACAUAUUUGAGUCGACGACUCAUUUAAUGGAACAUGUGAAACCCUAAAACUUGAACGAGCGAGCACGGAAGAUCGUUUGAUUUACAAGCCAAGAAUCACUCCUCUGGUAUGAUCUCGGAGCGGGCCCGAAUAAAUCUACCCACGUCCCCACGUGUCCGAGCCUCCUCCAUCAGGAAAUGCUAAUGUACGGCAGCACACAAAUACCAUUCCAUGGACCCCCAUCACACUCCCUCUAUUCCCCGAGUAUGAAAUCCAUCAGAUGAUAUGAAACGACAUAAAGUCCUCGCGUUACACGGCUUUAUACGUUACACUGUCACGCUGGCCCCCGGCAGUGAAAGGUCAUGGGCAUCCAUGUCAUUUUACGGUAAAUUACAUUGAAGCUCCUCUACUUCCCAAUAAUUACACCAACGGUCCACCAACCCUCAUUAAACUUAUAAGUUAUACCCAAGAGAUUUCAAUCGUCUCCCUCACUCACUCUCUCUGCUCUCACUUGCAGAGAGACCAUGGCAGCCACGGCCGCCGUGGCCACUCUUCUCCUCACGAGCUUCUUCUUCGCUGCUCUCCACGUCUCUUCGAAUCCAGAUACCAAACCUCUCCUAUCAUUCAAAGCAACGUCGGACGCAUCCAACAAGCUCACCACGUGGAACUCCACCUCCGUUGACCCGUGCACCUGGACCGGCGUCUCCUGCACCAACAACCGAGUCUCCCGACUUGUUCUCGAGAACCUCGACCUCCGCGGCUCGUUCCAGCCACUCACCGCGCUAACUCAGCUCCGAGUUCUGAGCCUCAAGCGUAACCGCCUAUCCGGCCCCAUUCCGGACCUCUCCAACUUCACCGCCCUCAAACUCUUAUUCCUCUCCUACAACGAACUCUCCGGCGACUUUCCAGCCUCCGUGUCCUCUCUCUUCCGCCUCUACCGCCUCGAUCUGUCCUACAACAACCUAUCCGGCAAGAUUCCCGCAACGGUCAACCAUUUGAAUCAUCUUCUCACUCUCCGGCUCGAGGCGAACCGUUUCUCCGGUUCGAUUUCGGGUCUGACCCUGCCGAAUCUGCAGGACCUCAAUGUGUCUGCGAACCGUUUGACCGGCGAAAUACCCAAGUCCUUUUCGACUUUCCCUAUAACUGCUUUCGCUCAAAACCCGGGUCUAUGCGGGUCUCCGAUGCAGAGCUGCAAGGGUACACCAAACGACCCGACCCGGCCUGGAUCUGACGGAGCCAUUGCGUCUCCUGUAAUGCCUGCUGCUAACCCAACCGUCGUAGCGUCGUCGCCGAGUUCGUUACCCGGGAACUCAGCGCUGAACAAAUCGGGAAAUCCUCACCGAAGUGGUAGCGCGAAAAUGAGUCCGGAGGCUCUAAUCGCCAUUAUAGUUGGCGACGCUUUGGUUCUCGUGCUGGUUUCGCUGCUACUGUACUGCUACUUCUGGCGGAAUUUCAGCGCCAAAAUGCGGCAGGGCAAGGGGGGCUCGAAGCUUCUAGAAACUGAGAAGAUCGUGUACUCGUCGAGCCCCUACUCCGCCGCCCAACCAGUGUUCGAGCGGGGUCGGAUGGUGUUCUUCGAAGCAGUAAAAGCGUUUCGAGCUCGAGGACUUGCCUCAGGGCCUCGGCGGAGAUGCUGGGGAAAGGCGGGUUCGGGACGGCGCGUACAAGGCGGUUCUCGACGAUGGCAACGUGGUGGCGGUUAAAGAGGCUCAAGGAUGCUCAGAUUGGCGGGAAGACUCAGUUCGAGCAGCACAUGGCGGUGCUGGGGCGGCUCAGCCAUCCCAACAUUGUGAGCUUGAGGGCUUAUUACUUCGCCAGGGAGGAGAAAUUGUUGGUAUACGAUUACAUGCCCAAUGGCAGCCUGUUCUGGGUUCUCCACGGUAAUUUUAUUUCAGUUUUCCUGCUUAAUUUCUGUUUGGUAGCCAAGAAAUUUUUUCUUUUUCAAAUAUUAGUUUAAUUCUGGGUUUCAAUUUGGUGCCUUGUUUUCUGUACGUUUAGGUCAAACGGGGUCAAAUUUAGGGUCUUUUUUGUAAUUAUAUAUUUAGGGUUUUACUGUCGGUCCUGUCAACUCCAGUUCCGUCUUUAUCUUCCUUUUACUUUUGUCUUUGUUUUUUGCUCCCUUCUUUUCCUUCUUUCCUGCUCUGAAUAUGACCAAAAAGCGCCUAACUCCGCUGCACUCCACGCUUUUACGUAAUUGUCCUUAGUUGUAAUUAUCGUGAACUAACGAGGGCUAACUUCAACAGGAAACCGUGGACCCGGUCGGACUCCGCUGGACUGGACAACGAGGCUGAAAAUCGCAGCCGGAGCCGCUCGAGGCUUGGCCUGCAUUCACGACUCAUGCGGGCCGCUUAAGCUCACCCACGGUAACAUCAAGUCCACCAACAUCCUCUUAGACAACACUGGCAACGCCAGAGUCUCCGACUUCGGACUCUCCGUUUUCGUGCCUCCUCCGCCCUCCACGUCGUCCGCUCCGCGAUCUUGCGGUUACCGCGCUCCCGAGACGUUGGACGGUCGGAAAUUGACGCAGAAAUCAGACGUGUACGCUUUUGGUGUUCUGCUGCUGGAGCUGCUCACGGGGAAGUGUCCCUCUGUGGUGGAUAAUGGCGGGUCCGGGGGAGGAUUCGGUGGGCUUGUGGACCUGCCCAGGUGGGUCCAGUCUGUGGUCAGGGAAGAAUGGACGGUGGAGGUGUUUGACUUGGAGCUGAUGAGGUACAAGGAUAUUGAGGAGGAGAUGGUGGGGCUUUUGCAGAUUGCAAUGGCUUGUACGGCCGCUUCGCCUGAUCAACGUCCCAGGAUGAGCCAGGUGGUGAAAAUGAUUGACGAGAUUCGGGGCCUGUCUGGUUCGCCGAGUCACGAGACCGGCUUUGAAUCCAUGUCCGAGUCGUCGGCCUUGUCGGAGGACACUUGCGGAGCAAGUCAGUGAUCGCACCAGCAACCAUUUUUAACGUUCUUGUGUUGUAAAUCUACGGGUUUUGUUUUGUUGGCUUCAGUUCCCUUGCCUUCUUAUUUAAUCUCAAAUUUUCGUUUAUGCUAAUUUAAUUACAUCGAUUGCAACGAUUUUAUAGAGCUUAAAUCGGAAUCGUUUAAUUAAAUUGAUUUAGGAUUUAGAUUUAACAAAAAGGAAAUGUAACAAUCUGAAUCUAUGUGCUGAAAUACAUGAUCUGCGUUGCAAGUCUCAGCAGUUUAUCCAAAGUAUCAGGCAUGAACUUUCUGGCGAAUAAGAAACAAACAUCCGUGCUCCUCCCAUUGUAUUCACAUUUCCGACCAUAACCACUCCUCAGGCUACUCAGAAGCGCCGCCGUCAGGUUUGGGCUCCUGUACUCCGUCGGGUGUGGGCCGCCCUUGCUCCAGUCAACCCAGGUCAAAGUCCUAUUUGCAUUCCUUGCUGCAAAUUUCAAGUGCACAAAUGUUGGCAAAUAAUGUUCAUCCGGAAAGCAAUAGCCUUUGCACUUGAGGAAUUCCGGGAAGUAUUUUCGAUCCGAGAUGGAUUCAAUGGCAACCUCUCUAUCAAUUGCAAACCACGCCCACCCUUUUCUCCAUUGAUCUACCGUGAUUCUCGUGUAGUUGCUGAGAUAGUACCGGCCACGUCCAACCGAACUUGGGUCAUCGAAGACCUCUACGAAAGUUCGGGUUGAGUUGAUGAGGUAGGAGUAGACAGUGGAAAAGUUGUAGAGGGGAAUGCAUGUCUCUGAGAGGAGAACAAAAUGUUGGUUUGAGAUGUUGAGAAGAGCAUUCGCCAAUAGGCGGCGCAGCCUCAAUCAAGCUCGCCUUCCCCCAUUCCACUUCCUGCAAAACAUGUUGUAGGACUGAACAUUGUAACAAGAUCAAGUCAAGCAAAAAACUUAUCACCUGACUAGGAAUUCUUCGCUCAUGAAACACCGGACUUUCAGGAUGCGAUGCUGCCUCGUAGGAUGGACUUGAGUGCACAUAAAUUGAGUACAAGCCUUGAUGCCCUUUGAAGAAAUUUUCCCAUAACAGGGCCAAAUGAACAGGUCCCUUUGUCAAGAACAUGAAAGCAACCUUGGGAACAAGAUGGAUUGGAUACUCGAGAAUCCGAGGGCUCAUCGAAGCUCUCCAUAGCAAUUCCGAGACGUUCAUGUCAUGAAACACCUUUGGCGGCCUCAGAUAUUUCUUUAAAUAUCCUCCUGUUAUGUUAGGUUGGGUUGCACAUAUUUUGCUCAUAUUGUUAGAUCGUAUUUGGGAUGCAAAGGUUUGGCUCGUAUUAGAAUUGGAUGCUGUGGGGGGCUGCCGUUACAUUUUCCAGUUUCGGAGUUGAAUUUUGUACUGCCGAAGUUACACCAGGCAUUAGCAUUUGUGAAGGAAUAUUGGAUGGAAGAGAUGAUGAGAUAGCUGAGAUGGGUAGGCUGGCUAACUGAGGAUUCAAUGGGUAGUAUUCUUUGAGAUUGCUAGGUACAACCCCGAGGGUAAAACCACCAACAAAGAGCAGGACAUCCGAGACUUUUGUAAACAAGCUGGUAGGGUUUCGAUCUUGACGAGCCAUCAUUUUGGAGAAUCACAAGAGAGACGAGAUUUGGUGUGAAGAGAUCUCCCUUAAUAUAGUUGUAGCUGCGCAUCUUUGUAUUGCGAUCAACCUUUCUGCAACGGGGAAAGGAGUGUUUCAGUUAAUUUUUUCGUUUCAAGGAAAAUGGAUUUGUUUGCGGUACAUUUACAGAGACGAAAAUUUCAUUUCACCGUUAAUUUUACUUUAAUCUGAAUUUUGUUUCUUGCAAGGUUGCUUCAUUUCACAGACCAAACACAAAUAAGAUUGAUUACCAAUAAUAUAUUUUAGUUAGAGGGCUUAUUGUUUGUUGUUAGUUUACGAUUACAUCGCCUAAUUGAUAAAUUCUGGUGAGUUAGUUUUGGUUCCUGGAGGCAGACAAGAAAAAAUGAAAGCAGAGAACACAGAAAAUCGGGAGGAAUGUGAAAGGUUUCUUAUCUGUGAAGUAAUCACAGAUAUUUCAAUAAAUAUCAACUUAGGAUAUUUCCUUACAAGCUAAUCUAGAGCAAUCUCAGCCCUUGAUUCAAAACAAAGAUCUAAAGCAUACACUUGUCUUAUGAGACUAGACAUACACUUUUCUAUUGAUUUCUUUCUUCUUAAACACUUGAACAAAACUGAAUUCUAUUUAAUUCCAACACUCCCCUUUAAAUGAAUUCUGGUUUUGAUCCCAAGCAUUCCUCUGAGAUAGACAAACCUUUCCCUCGGUAGAGCUUUGGUGAAGAUGUCGGCCAUUUGAUCCUGUGAUUUGCAGUAGAUCAGUUCAAUGGUAUUCUCCUGCAAGGCUUCCCUUAUGAAGUGAAACUUCCUUUUGAUAUGCUUGGUUUUCUGAUGAAAAUAGGAUUCUUGGUCAUAUGCUAUUGCUGUUGAUGGUUGUCACACAUAAGUGGUGAAGCAUCACUUGCAUUUCACCAAAAUCCUUUAACACAAACCUCAACCAUAUAUGCUUGGGAGGUAGCCAUUGCAGCACUCACAUACUCUGCUUCAGCCGUAGACAAUGCAACACUUUGUUGCUUGACAGAAGCCCAAGAAAAUAUCCCUGAACCGAAUGUAAAUGCAUAUCCUGAGGUACUUCUCAUGUCAUCUUCACUGCCACCCCAAUCACUGUCACAGAAGCCUACCAGAAUUGCUUUUUCUCCCUUUCAUAUUUGAUUCCAUAGUCCAAGGUCCCUGAGAUAUACCUUAGUACUCUCUUAGCAGUUCCCAUGUGAAUUCUCGUGGGAUUAUGCAUAAACCUUGAUAAGAGACUGGCUGCAUACAUAAUGUCAGGUCUUGUAGCAGUCAAAUAAAGCAGACUUCCAACCAUCCUUCGGUAAUAAGCAUUCAUUCAGCAAUUCAGAACCAUCCACUUCUACAAAGUUUUCAUGUGAUCAAUGGGUUGCCACAGAUUUGCAUCCUUUCAGAUUGAAUCUUUCAAGCAGUGAUUGUGCAUACUUCUGCUGAUGUAUGAAAAUCCCAGUAGCUUCUUGUAUUACUCCAAUUCCCAAGAAGUGAUGCAACAAGCCAAGAUCCGACAUCUCAUAUUGUCUCAUCAUUUCCCUUCUAAAUUCUUCAAUCAUUUCUUCACAAUUACCAGUAAAGACCACAUCAUCAACAUAUAUAGACACAAUAAGCAUCUCAGAGUUCUCACCAGUUUUUGUAUAUAAUGUAGCUUCACUAGGACUUUUGUUAAAUCCACUUUUGCUGAAAUAGGAGUCUAUCUCACUGUACCAAGCCCUGGGGGCUUGUUUGAGUCCAUACAGUGCUUUGUUUAACUUGUAGACCUUAUCCUCUUUAUUUGGCACUUCAAAUCCUUGUGGUUGAUCCACAUACACUUCUUCCUCCAAAAUGCCAUUUAGAAAAGCUGAUUUGACAUCUAACUGGUGAAGUUUCCAUCCCUUUUGGGCAGCAAGAGCAAUCAAGGUUCUAAUGGUGUCUAACCUUGCCACUGGGGCAAAGGUUUCAUUGAAAUCUACCCCAGGUUGUUGUGAGUAGCCCUUGGCAACUAAUCUUGCUUUGUUCUUUUGUAUUGAUCCAUCCAAAUUCAGUUUGAUCUUGUAAAUCCGUUUCACACCUAUCACAGGUUUAUCACUCGGUCUAUUUACCAAUUUCCAAGUAGAGUUUUUCUCAAUCAUGGCAAUUUCUUCACUCAUUGCUUUCUGCCAGGAUUGAUCCUUCUCAGCUUCUUCAAAACUCUCUGGUUCAACAACACAAUAGUUACACACUGCAUAGAUCUCAUUUAAACUCCUCAUUCUCACUGGAGUUGUUUCAGGGAGGAAUCCUGUAAUUCUUGUCCUUCUGCAUUUGAAGUAGAGGACUGAGAUCCUUGUGUUGGAGUUGAAAAGUCAGUUUGACUCUCAUCUUGUAUAACAGGUUCAUUCACAUUUUGCACUUCAGCUUGUGCUUCUUCCAUUGCUAGUGGAAAUGAGAUAGUGUCUAUGUUAUUGGUUUCCCAAUUCCAUGCUUCAUUCUCCUUGAACACCACAUCCCCUUGAGAGAAUCACUUUGCGUGACUCAAUAUUGUAGAGCCUAUAGCCCUUUUCACAGCUUCCAUAACCUACAAGGACACACUUGACACUAUUGAUCUCAAGCUUGUGUCGUAGUUGAGAUGGUAUCUGUGCAUAGCAGAUUGAUCCGAACACCUUCAAGUGCUUCACACUUGGUUUUCUGCCACUAAAUGCCUCAAACGGUGUUUUCUUCUCAAGUGCUUUAGUUGGACACCUGUUUAGGAGAUACACAGAUGUAUUGACAGCUUCACCCCAAAAAGAAAGUGGCAUUUUCUUAUCAUGGAGCAUUGACUUGGUCAUUUCAACCACGGUCCUGUUCUUCCUCUCAGCCACACCAUUCUGCUGUGGUGUGUAGGCCACUGUCAAUUGCUUCUGCAAUCCUGCUCCUUCACAGAAUUCUUGGAACUCAAGUGAAGUGAAUUCACCACCUCUGUCGCUUCUUAGUCUUUUGAUCUUGAGACCACUCUGAAGUUCAACCAUCAUUUUGAAUUUCUUGAAGAUUGAAAAGACUUCACUCUUGUUUCUCAUAAGAUAUACCCAAACCAUCCUGGUGCAGUCAUCAAUGAAUAGCAGAAAAUAUCUGUUCCCACUGAGUGUAGGUGUCUUCAUUGGACCACACACAUCUGUGUGUAUGAGUUCUAGAGGUUGACUUGCUCUCCAUGCACUUCCAGUUUCAAAAGAGUCCCUGUGAUGCUUCCCCAAUAUGCAACCUUCACACGGUUCUUUAGUCUCUUGUAACUCAGGAAGACCAGUCACCAUUUGUAGUUUCUCCAAUCUCUUUAAACUGUGAAAGUUGAGAUGUCCGAACCUCUUAUGCCAUAACCAAGAGUUUUCUGCAACACUUGCUUUUAGGGCAAUUGAAUCAUUGUAAUCUAGCAUAAGUGGAAAGCUUUUGUUUUCUGUCAUGCCAACUUGUGUUACCAAGUUUUGGAGGCUUCUGUUAUCAAAGAUCUCUACCAUAUUGUCUCCAAAAAGUAAGAAGUAACCAUGAGCAAUCAUCUGUCCCACACUAAGGAGAUUCUCAUCAAGACCUGGCACAAGUAUUACAUCAUUGAUGAAUCUUCUUCCACCCUUUGUCUCUAGAACAAGAGUUCCUUUUCCAGUAGCUUCCACUAGUUGUCCAUUCCCCAUUUUAACUCUGCAAUUGAAGCUUCUGUCAAUGUUGAUCAGCAAGGAUUCAUAUGCAGUCAUGUGAUUACUGCAUCCACUGUCAAUAUACCAGAUUCCUCUCUUGUUUUCAGUUUUUGCAACACUACAAGCAUAAAAGACAUUUACUUCCUCUUCUUCUGCUCUAUGUGCAUAGUUGACAACUUGGUUCCUUCUUGGAUUACAAUCUUUUGCUAGAUGGCCAAAUCUGUCACACUUGGUGCAUUUUGGGUUUUCCCUUGAACCAGCAAACACCAUAGUGUAAUUUGUCACAGAUUUUACACUUGGUUUUGGUAGACUCACUGCUAGAUUCUGAUUUUGAUUGUGAAGUAUGGUUGUUGUCCCAUUUCUUCCCUUUGCCUUUCCAUAAUUUCUUUUGAUUUGAGUUGCUCCCCUGACCCCUGUAACUGCUAUCUCUCUCAGUCACACUUAGGCUAGUAAAAGCCUUUUCAGCUAAGUUUUCAGAAUGCAUAUUUAACCUCUGCUCAUAGCCUUUCAAUGUACCAAUCACUUCUUGAACCUCAAUGGAGUCAAGGUCUUUAGUUUCUUCUAUAAUAGAUGCGAUGGAAUCAUAAGAUUUAGGCAAGCUAAUAAGUAUCUUUUGCACUAAUCUUUGAUUUGUGUCAGUUCUUCACCAAGAGUUUUCAUUUGAUUCACAAUAUCAGUCAAUCUUGUUAAAUUAAACAGAUAGAGCUUCACCAUCAUUCAUCCUAGUAUACUCAAAAUCUCUUCUUAAACAUUGUAGUUUGACAGACCUAACCUUUUUGUCACCACGAAAUUCUUGUUGAAGAACAUCCCAUGCAGUCUUGGAGGUUUCAAAGUUUGAGAUUCGAGGAAAGAUCUCAUCAGACACUGCCCCUUGAAUGAUACCAAGAGCUUUUGCAUCUCUGGUUUCAUUAACUUUCAUUGCUAUCUUCCUCACAGACUGUUGAUCUUCAUCGCUAGAAUCAUCUUCAGUUUCUGCAGUUUCAUAACCCUUGUCCACCAAAGUCCAGAGAUCAUGUGAUUUGAAUAUGGUCUUCAUCUUGAUGGACCAAAAAUCGUAGUUGAUCCCAUUGAAAAUAGGAGCCCUCAGAUCUCCUCCACUGCUCGAAGUAACCAUGUGAGGCUUUGUAAGAACAGAUGAGAUUUUCACGAUCCGGGUAUGUUUUUCCCCCUUUUCUUUUCAGAGAUACGAAGCACACACAAAACGCCCAGUCCUGAAUUUGAUCAGAACCUAAGCUCUGAGGCCAUGAUAAAUUCUGGUGAGUUAGUUUUGGUUCCUGGAGGCAGACAAGAAAAAAUGAAAGCAGAGAACACAGAAAAUCGGGAGGAAUGUGAAAGGUUUCUUAUCUGUGAAGUAAUCACAGAUAUUUCAAUAAAUAUCAACUUAGGAUAUUUCCUUACAAGCUAAUCUAGAGCAAUCUCAGCCCUUGAUUCAAAACAAAGAUCUAAAGCAUACACUUGUCUUAUGAGACUAGACAUACACUUUUCUAUUGAUUCUUUCUUCUUAAACACUUGAACAAAACUGAAUUCUAUUUAAUUCCAACACUAAUUGCAACCUAAUUAGGUGUCUGGACAAGUUGCUUCACAUUGCUUGUUUGAUUUGUUGCUAAGAACAUGAAAGCAACCUUGGGAACAAGAUGGAAUGGAUGUCCGCGAAUCCUAGGACUCAUUGAAGCUCUCCAUAGCAGUUCUUCAACGUUCAUGUCGUGAAACGCCUUUGGUGGCUUUAGAUAGUCCGUAAAUCCUACAAUAUGUGAGGUUUGGCUGUAAAUGUUCGGCUCGUAUUGCAUGUUGCGGCUGUUACAUUUGGGAUUAUCAUUUGUGAAGUAGUGAGGGUAUAAGUAUAGGAGAUAGCUGGAAAGGAUAAUUGUAAGUCUUUCUGAUUGCUAAGUGCAAUUCCAAGGGUUAAACCGCAAAAACAUAGAAAGAAAUAAGAAAGCAGAUUGAAGAGGUUGUAUUGGACGCCAAAGAGUUUGGGAAACUACUUUACUGGAUUUGAAUCUGGACCCUUCAUCAUUUCAGAGAACAAGAGACUGAAGACAUAUGUCCUUCUAGGCUCUAGCUAUAUAUCUUACUUAUAUUUUGUGUCUUCUGUAAGUGGCUGCACAAAACUCUCCUUUUGCGUUACGAUCGACCUUUCUGCAACGGAAAACGGAGUGUUUGGGUUCAUUUUUGUAUGCAAGGUAAAAUGUAUUGCUUUGUGUUGAAGUUAUAGAGAUGAGAAGUCCAUAUCACCAUUAUUUUUACUCUUAACCAUAAAUUAUUUUUGGUGCGAGGUGCUUCAUUGCAGACCAAAAACAAAGGAACCAUUUUACCAGUGAGCGCAACGAUUGUGUCUUUUCUCGCAACCUAUUUACCUGGAAUCUAGAAGAUCAUGAAACUCAAAAUCGCAACGGAAGCGCAACGAUUGUGUGUCUGUUCUCGCAAGAUCUAUUGAAGAAUGUUAAUUAUUGACUCAAACAUGUAGUCAAAGUCCAAAUCUUUGGGCUACUUUUGUGGUCAAAAAUUGUUGGUUGGCAUGCUACAUGUGGGAAACAAAAAUUACAUGCAAUUGUGCCUAACUCUUUUUGACUUGAUGUUAGGCCUUUGGUCAUUGAUGUCUUUGAGAAGCUUUUCUUUGGCUAUAAAAGGAGAGCAAGGUGCAACCCAUAAGCAUGGAGAAGUAGAGAAGAACAAGGAAGAGAGAAAAAUAGCAAGAAGCCAUUUGGCAUAGAGAAGAAUUUUCUCAAAUUGUCUUGCUUUGUAUUUUUGGUUUUCUCUUCCUAUUGUAAGUGUGAGAGCUUGGGGUUAUUUGGGUCUUUGGGAAAUUGAGUGAUAAACACUAUUGUAUGUUCUCAUUGAUUAUAGUGGAAUACUCCGUCGUCUCCAAACUGGAUGUAGGCAUUGCCGAACCAGUAUAAAUCUUGGUGUUCUUGUUGGUGUUGUUUUUAUUCUGUUCUGUCUUACUAUUCACUUACAGUCGUACGCCGCUUCCGCACAACAAGUGGUAUCAGAGCCCAGUUUCGUGAAUAGUGUUGGUGCUACAGUUCUGUGAACAGUGAACUGCUACAGUAUCUGUGAACAGUAUUGUACAUGUGAACAGUACCGUAUUUGUGAACAGUGCCGAGUAGAUGGCUGGAGAUAAAGAUGAAUCUGUAAGGAAGGAGUCAGCAUCGUCUUCGUCUACAUCCAAUAGACAUCCAACCACUACUACAAGGUUAGAGGUUGAUAAAUUCAAUGGCUCUAAUAAUUUUGGUAUGUGGCAAUGUGAAGUUAUGGAUGUGUUGUAUCAACAAGAGUUAGAUAUGGUUCUGGAAGAUAAACCAGAAGAUAUUGAUGACAAGCAGUGGACGCGAAUUAAUCUUCAUGCUUGUGCUGCUAUUCGAUCAUUCCUUGAUAAGGAGUUGAAAUACCCGUAUAUGAAGGAAACUUCUGCUAAGGAGUUAUGGACGAAAUUGGAGGAGAAGUAUAUGACCAAGAGCGCAGAAAAUCGUCUCUUCUUGAAGAAGCGACUCUUCCGAUUUCAGUAUCGUCCAGGUAUCUCUAUGCACGAACACCUCAAUGAUUAUAAUAAAAUACUUGCUGAUUUAGCAAACCUUGAUGUGAAAAUUCCUGACGAGGACAAGGCACUAUGUUUGUUAAAUUCAUUGCCUGAUGAUUAUGAUCAUUUGACAACUACUAUGUUGUAUGGAAAAUCCGAGGUGAAACUUGAUGAGGUGUCUGCGGCAUUGGUGAAUCAUGAGUGUCGUAAGAAGGAACUGAAGACUCACAAUUCACAAACCGAGGCAUUUGUUGCAAGGGGUCGAACAGAGGAAAGAAAAAUCUGGGAAGCGGGGAAAAUCUCGUUCAAAGUCACGAGGGAAGUUUCCUGCUAAAGAUGAAUGUGCUUUUUGUCGCCAAAAGGGGCAUUGGAAGAAAAGACUGCCCCAAAUUGAAGAACAAAGAGAAGGAGAAAGCGGGUUCUGAAGCAAAUAUUGCAAAAUCUGGAGAUGAUGAUUUCGAGUUUGCUUUGGCUAGUUCAUAUGCUGAUGGUCACUCAAAAUGAGUGGAUUUUGGAUUCAGGUUGCACCUAUCAUAUGUGUCCCAUUCGAGAAUGGUUUUCUAAUUUCAAGGAGCUGGAUGGUGGAGUUGUUUUUGAUGGGUAAUAAUAAUGCCUGCAAAACACAAGGGAUAGGCAAAAUCUGUUUGAUGAAGAUGCAUGAUGGAACAGUCAGAGAAUUAAGUGAUGUUCGGUAUGUACCGGAUAUGAAGAAAAAUCUCAUCUCACUGGGUGCAUUGGAAUCCAAGGGUCUCAAGAUCACCAUGGAGGGUGGAGUUCUUAAAGCUGUGUACGGGGCACUGGUGGUGAUGAAAGGUACAAAGACGAAAUAACUUGUAUUUCUUGCAGGGGAAUACAGUUAUUGGUGGAGCAGCUGUCACCGAAGCUGCUGACGCAGAUAGCACAGACACCACGAGGUUAUGGCAUAUGCGUCUUGGGCAUGCUGGUGAAAAAGCGUUGCAAGGAUUGGUGAAGCAAGGCUUAUUGAAAGGUGCAAAGGCAUGCAAAUUGGAAUUCUGUGAGCAUUGUGUGUUGGGUAAGCAAACUAGAGUAAAAUUUGGCACUGCUAUUCACCACACUAAGGGCAUUCUUGAUUAUGUUCACACUGAUGUUUGGGGACCUUCCAAGAAUGCAUCUUGGGGAGGUAGCCAUUAUUUUGUCUCCUUUGUUGAUGACUUCUCUAGAAGAAUAUGGGUGUACACCAUGAAGCGUAAAGAUGAAGUCUUGAAGAUAUUCCUGAAGUGGAAAAAGAUGAUUGAAACGCAAAAGCGGUCGAAAGAUCAAGACUCUCAGAUCAGACAAUGGGGGUGAAUAUAAGUCUGAUCCUUUCUUGAAAGUUUGUCAAGAUGAGGGUAUUGUGAGGCACUUCACGGUUAGGGAGACACCGCAACAGAAUGGGGUGGCAGAGCGCAUGAACCGUACUUUGCUUGAGAAAGUUCGGUGUAUGUUGUCUAAUGCUGGAUUAGGCAAGGCGUUUUGGGCUGAGGCACUCACUUAUGCAAGCCAUCUCAUUAAUCGAUUGCCAGCUGCUGCGAACGAGGGCAAAACGCCCAUGGAGGUAUGGUCUGGUAAACCUUGUACUGAUUACAAGUUUUUACACAUAUUUGGUUGUCCUGCUUACUAUUAUGUCAGAGAAAGCAAGUUGGAUCCAAGAGCAAAGAAAACUCUAUUUAUGGGCUUUAGCACUGGCGUGAAGGGAUACCGACUCUGGUGUCCAGAUGAGAAGAAAUUUGUUGUAAGCAGAGAUGUGACUUUUGAUGAGGCUGCUAUGGUUAAUCAGAACAAGCAUGAAGGUGAAACUGAAGCGACCGAGACCAUGAGUAGCUCAAAGCAGGUGGAGUUACUGAAGACUCCAGUUGUUCCAGUAAGGUCUGAUGUUUCAAACACUAGUCCUACAGUUAAUUCUGAUGAUGAGGAUGAGGAUGAUGAAGAGGAGGCACCUACCCAAGAGCCUCCACAGCAACAAGACUAUAUUGCAACCAGAAGAUCGAGAAGGGAAAUCCGAAAGCCUGCUCGAUUUACUGAUAUUGUGGCAUAUGCACUUCCCGUUAUUGAAGAUGAUAUUCCAUCCGCCUACAAAGAAGCUGUCAUGAGUUCAGAGUGCGAGUUGUGGAAGAAAUCUAUGGAUGAGGAGAUGAAAUCUCUUCAUAAAAAUGAGACUUGGAAGCUGGUUCAGUUACCAAAGGGGAAGAAAGCAAUUGGUUGUAAAUGGGUGUAUGCCAAAAAAGAUGGAAUCUUUGGGAAAAGACAAUGUAAGAUUCAAAGCCAGAUUGGUAGCUAAAGGCUACGCUCAGAAGGAAGGCAUUGACUACAAUGAGGUAUUUUCUCCUGUAGUAAAACAUUCUUCUAUUCGUAUUCUGUUGGCUUUGGUUGUGCAGUUUGACCUUGAGUUGGCCCAACUUGAUGUCAAGACUGCGUUCUUACAUGGUGAUUUGGAGGAAGAGAUUUAUAUGUCUCAACCAGAAGGUUUUAAGGUUGCUGGAAAGGAAAAUUGGGUUUGCAAAUUGGAAAAAUCAUUGUAUGGCUUGAAGCAGUCUCCAAGACAAUGGUACAAGCGAUUUGAUCGAUUUAUGAUCGGGCAGAAGUACACAAGAAGUCACUAUGACCAUUGUGUAUACUUUCGCAAACUACAAGAUGGAACCUUCAUUUAUCUGCUUUUAUAUGUUGAUGAUAUGCUUAUAGCAUGUAAGAGCAAAGUGGAGAUUACAAGGUUGAAGACUCAACUAAGUAAUGAAUUUGAGAUGAAGGACUUGGGAGAAGCUCGGAAGAUACUAGGUAUGGAAAUUGAAAGAGAUAGAGCGAAGGGCAAGAUUAGUCUGUGUCAGAAGCAAUAUUUGAAGAAGGUACUACAACGUUUCAGGAUGAAUGAAAAUUCAAAACCGGUUAGUACACCUCUUGCCUCUCAUUUCAAACUUAACGCUUCUAUGUCUCCUAAAACUGUUGAAGAGAGUCAGUACAUGGCUCAAAUUCCUUAUGCAAAUGUUGUUGGUAGUUUGAUGUAUGCUAUGGUGUGUACUAGGCCUGAUAUUUCACAAGCUGUUAGUAUUGUCAGUAGAUAUAUGCAUAAUCCAGGAAAAGGGGCAUUGGCAAGCUGUGAAAUGGAUUCUACGGUAUAUUCUGGGUACUGUGGAUGUUGGUUUAUUGUUCCAGCAGGAUAAAGUUACUGGUAAAUGUGUUGUUGGAUAUGUGGAUUCUGAUUACGCAGGUGAUUUGGACAAGCGUAGGUCCACUACUGGUUUUGUAUUCUCUAUUGCUGGAGGUCCAGUAAGUUGGAGGUCGAUUCUGCAAUCUACAGUUGCUUUGUCGACUACUGAGGCAGAAUACAUGGCUGUGACAGAAGCUAUAAAGGAAGCCAUCUGGCUUCAAGGGUUGCUUGAUGACUUAGGGGUUCAACAAGACCAUGUGGAUGUUUAUUGCGACAGUCAGAGUGCUAUACAUUUAGCAAAGAAUCAAGUUCAUCAUGCACGUACGAAACACAUUGACGUGAGGUUCCAUUUUGUUCGUGAGAUUAUUGACGAGGGAGAUAUUCUUCUUCAGAAGAUUGGGACCGCUGACAAUCCUGCGGAUAUGUUAACGAAGCCAGUUUCGUUGCACAAGUUUAAGCACUGCUUAGACUUGAUUGGCGUUUGUAAAAUUUGUUGAUUGCCCCAUGGGGGAAUUGGGAGACGACUAUUAGGAGUUCUACUUAGAGGGUUUGAGUCAAGGUGGAGAUUGUUAAUUAUUGACUCAAACAUGUAGUCAAAGUCCAAAUCUUUGGGCUACUUUUGUGGUCAAAAAUUGUUGGUUGGCAUGCUACAUGUGGGAAACAAAAAUUACAUGCAAUUGUGCCUAACUCUUUUUGACUUGAUGUUAGGCCUUUGGUCAUUGAUGUCUUUGAGAAGCUUUUCUUUGGCUAUAAAAGAGAGCAAGGUGCAACCCAUAAGCAUGGAGAAGUAGAGAAGAACAAGGAAGAGAGAAAAAUAGCAAGAAGCCAUUUGGCAUAGAGAAGAAUUUUCUCAAAUUGUCUUGCUUUGUAUUUUUGGUUUUCUCUUCCUAUUGUAAGUGUGAGAGCUUGGGGUUAUUUGGGUCUUUGGGAAAUUGAGUGAUAAACACUAUUGUAUGUUCUCAUUGAUUAUAGUGGAAUACUCCGUCGUCUCCAAACUGGAUGUAGGCAUUGCCGAACCAGUAUAAAUCUUGGUGUUCUUGUUGGUGUUGUUUUAUUCUGUUCUGUCUUACUAUUCACUUACAGUCGUACGCCGCUUCCGCACAACAAAGAAUACAAGAAUUUCACAAUGGAUAAUCUAUUGCAACUCUUCCCUUUCCCUCUUACUCCUUUCUCUAUUUGUUUCCCUUCUGUUUCUUCCGUGAAGCAGUAAUAUGAGUACAGUAGUCAUGAAUAUCUAUGUGUUGAAGUGCAUGAUCUCCGGUGCAAACUUCAGCAGGUUAUCCAAAGCAGUUGGCGGGAACUUCCUGGCGAAUAAGAAACAUACAUCUGUAGUCCUCCCAUUGUAUUCACAUUUCCGACCAAAACCAUUCCUCAGGCCACUCAAAAGCACCGCCGUCACAUUUUCGCUCGCGUACUCCGUAGGGUGUGGGCCACCCUUUUCCCAGUCAACCCAGGUCAACGUCCUAUUUGCAUUCUUUGCUCCAAAUUUUAUGUACACAAACGUUGGCAAAUAAUGUUCAUCGGCGAAACAGUAGCCUUUGCAUUUCAUGAACACUGGGAAGUAUAUUCGAUCCGAUACGAAUUCAAGGGCGAGGUCUCGAUCAGCCUGGAACCACCGCGACCCUUUUCGCCACUGAUCUAUUGUGAUUCCCCGGUAGUCACUCAGUUCAUACCGGCCGCGUCCUACUCCACUGGGAUCGUCAAAGACCUCAACGAAAGUUUGGGUGGAGUUCAUGAGGUAGGAGUAGACAGUGGAGAAGUUAUGGAGGGGAAUGCAUGAUUCUGAGAGCAGAACAAAACGCUGGUUUGAGACGUCGAGAAGAGCAUUCGCCAGGAGGAGGCGCUCUGCCGCGAUCAGGCUCACCUUCCCCCAUUCUACUCCCUGCAAUUAGUACAUGUUGUUGAACAGAAAAUAGUGAGAACAAUUGGCAGCCACCUAUGUUGUGGAAAUUAUUGAGAAUUACAAUUUAGAAACAAACUGGCUUUACAAUAUAGUUAUUAACACUCAUUGGUUAUAUUUAUCUACAUUUUACACCCUCAAAAGUCAGUUUUAAAAUGGACCAUAUGAAUUCAAUUUUUGCACGUCGUACUAUCAGGUCUAAAAUCUUAACAAUUUAUGAUUUAUAGUUAUCUGAUUGUAUGAUCGUUUAAUUAAACUAAUGAUCUGACAUACAUGGAGCUCACCUUGAGCUAAUGUGGAAGUCAACUAUGGAUCAAAAAAUAAAUAUCACAAAGUCUCGUCUUCACCUCAAUUUAUGCUUCGUUACACUAUAUAUGAUAUUUAAUUGCACGGUUUUAGUCUUAUUGCGGUUAGCGUGGCUAAUACUAACCCAAACACGGAUUCCACAUCUGUCAUGCCAUCAAUUUAACAGAGCAUAGACAGUAACAAACAAAAAAAAUUGUGAAAAAAUUGAAAGUUGGUGACUUCUUAUAAAAUUUUACUCCAAAUAAUGCGGAGGAUGUAAAUGUAGGUAGUACAAUGUUAAUUUACUUCUGUGGUUUUAUAGUCUGUGUGACGAAACUUGAGUAAUAAUUUCAAUUCUGAAAAAAAAAAUCACAGAAAUAUAGCUUUUACUUAGUGCAGACAAAAGCGGAAAAAAACUAACCUGACUUGGAAUUCGCCGGCCACCAAAAACUGGGGUUUCGGUGUACAAUGAGUGAUUGUAGGACGGACUUGAGUGCACAUAAAUUGAGUACAAACCUUGAUGCCCGGCAAAGAACUUCUCCCACAGUGGUGCCAAAACAACAGGGCCCUUUGUCAAGAACAUGAAAGCAACUUUUGGAACAAAAUGGAAUGGAUAUUCAGGAAUCUGCGGAGUUAUAGAAGCUCUCCACAGCAGUUCUGCAUUGUUCAUGUCGUGAAAUGCGUUCGGUGGCUUCAGAUAAUCCUUCAACCCUGUCCGCGGAGGACUUGACGAAACAGAUGUUGUUGGGGAGGUUGCAUUUGGCAUUCGGGUUCUUGAAAUAUUGGUUGGAGGAGGAGGUGACAUAGGUGAGAAGGGGAUACUUCUGUGGCUGAGUUUUAAUUAAAAUAUGGUUUUCAUUGUGUAAUAUUUGUUGCUUGACAUUUACAGAUUGGUCCCCUCCGUUGUUGGCCCGGGGGGUUAUGCCUUUCUAGGUCAAUUGGAGACAUGGAUGUUGGGGAGUUUAUAGUUCCAAUACCAUAUGUGAAACAAGUCAAGGUAUCUUCCACUGCGUGGAAAUUAAAUUUUUAACUUGGUUUUAUUAAAUUCAAUGCCAAGUAUUGUUUAGCCUGAAAGCUAACAUUCUUAUAUCGUUUUAAAAGCUAUCAAAUGCCGGUGGGAGGCUUAUAAUUGCUUCGGAUGGCAUCUGGGAUGCUAUAUCUUCCGAAAUGGCAGCACAGUCUUGCCGUGGGUUGCCAGCUGAACUUGCUGCUAGACAAGUUGUGAAGGUUGUUUGAACUACUUGGCCUUUUUCUUGCAAUAUGCAUGUAUAAUCUCAAAGGCUGGAACUCUUUCUUAUUGAUGAUGGAUUGUGUUGUAGGAGGCAUUAAGGUCAAGGGGUCUAAAGGAUGAUACAACCUGCAUAGUUGUUGACAUAAUCCCUCCUGAUACUACGGUAGAGCCCUCAACUCCGCCAAAAAAGAUUAACAAGUUUAGGACCCUUUUUUUCAGAAAGAAAUCGCGUGCUUCUGCUAAUAAACUAUCCAAGAAGCUAUCGGCUGUGGGUAUUGUUGAGGAGUUAUUUGAAGAAGGGUCUGCUAUGCUUGCUGAAAGGUAGUUGAUUCUCUCUUCACUCAAUUUAGUUGAUUCGAUGCAAAGUUUCUUGAAGAGUUUCACACUCCGCUUGUCUACUAAAAUUGGAAAAGAAAAUUUUCAAUGAUGUCAUUAAUUUUAGUCUUGUAUAGCAUAUCGAAGUGGAGUUUCAUAUAUAGGUAUCAUAAACCUUAUUGUUGAGUUGCAAGUUCAAAUUGCGGGUUGGCUUCUUGUGAAAUGUGGUAUUUUGGUAUCGUGUAUUUGGUUGCUCCUGGAAAUGAUUAUCAAUGUCAAAUGUGUUGCAGGUUGGGCAGCGAUGAGUGCACAUCACAAUCAACAUCUGGGCUGUUCAUGUGUGCUGUAUGCCAAGUUGACCUUGCACCGAGCGAGGGGCAUAUCGGUUCACGCGGGUUCUAUCUUCUCAACCAGUUCAAAGCCUUGGCAAGGGCCGUUUCCUCUGUUCUGAUUGUCGUAACAAGAAGGAUGCCAUGGAAGGAAAACGCCCUAGCGGAGUCAGAGUAGCAUAGGUAGCUUGUGCAUUGUUUCGCCACCAUUCUUUUAACCCUUUAUUCCCUUUGUUUGAUAAUCCGUCUUCGUAGGCCAGCCAAUAUUGUUUGAAUCUUUACUUUAGUGAUACAUGAAAUGUAUAUGUAAAUUUGAUAAGUAAUUUGGAAUGAGUUGUAGAAGUUGAGGAAGGUCUUGUGCAAGGAAACCUCUUUCGAUUCUAUUUUGUUGGGGUAUUGGGCAAAGCAAAAGUGUGUCGAACUCGAAUACAAUAAUCGUUACUAAAAGUAAAUUAACAAAUGAACGGAAGUGAUUUUCUUUUGAUUUGUUCAAUCCUAAGGCUAGAAAAACAGAGAAACACGAAAUCACUUCUAUAUUGUAUAACUGAAUUUUCCAAGUUAGGUCUUGAUUCUAUAUUGUGUGCGAGUCUCUGAAUCAAUAAUAUGUGCUGUGAAGAAAUAAUACAAGUAGGUUAUUCAAAAGCCUUGAGUUGCUAUUGCUAUUGUAUUAUAUUGUUAACACACAACAGAAUGGCUCUGUUUCUUUUCUCUGCUCUCGUUCACUCUUCAAAAGCAGGACACAUCCUCCUGAAUGUGGAUUGUUCACUGUUGAUUGUUCUGACCAACUUCGUCCGAGGAUCCAACUGAAAGAGGGAGGAUACUGACAUGAAUUCGAAGGCCCUCUAUCAUCUUCGAUUUUUAUCAAAAACACGGCUGCAUGAGCACUUUGGAAGAAAUUCCUGCGAGGAUGAAGUUUUCGACGACUUGAAUUGGAUGAAGAAAUUCGUUUGCAGAGUGUUAGGAACGAAGAAGACAAAGUAGUAAGAGCGAGGAAGAUGAUCUUAGAGAGCUUUUGGUCCAUAUAAACUGAUCCUUCAAACCAGCCAGCGAUGAAAGAAGUAUAGAUAUGUUGGAAGGGAGCAUUGAUUCAUUGCAGAAACCAUACAAGCCUCACUUGUCUUCUCCUCCAAAGAUCAUACGGUUUUAGGCUUUUAGCACCCAAAAAAACGAAAAAAAAAAAGCAGAGGGUUUGAUUUAUCCCCCAAAAAAACCAUCUACAUUCUACAGUCCACUCGGGAGCAAGCAAAGAAACAAGACUUGGCAAGUAAGCAAUUCACAGAGAAUCACAGGGAAGACAAUGAAGCUAUGAUCAGUUUUACCAUGUCAUGUGAGCAUUUAUUUCAUUUUAUAUCAAGAUCAUUAGGGCCUAUUGCAAAUUCAUGUCCAAUCCAACCUUAUCUUAAAUUUAAUGUUGAAGCCUCGUUUGGUAUGAAGGAUAAGAUUGGAAUGGAUAAUUUUCUAAUUUCAAGGUACUAGUAGGGCAUAAAUGAAAAAAUUAUGUCCAUUGAUGUGAGGGUUACCGUGUCAAAACAAGUCAUGCAAAACGUCAGCAAAAUGCAUGCCAUAACUUGCUGGUCUAGGCUGCUCUUCCAUGUGCUUGACUCGUCUAUGUUGCNNNNNNNNNNNNNNNNNNNNNNNNNNNNNNNNNNNNNNNNNNNNNNNNNNNNNNNNNNNNNNNNNNNNNNNNNNNNNNNNNNNNNNNNNNNNNNNNNNNNNNNNNNNNNNNNNNNNNNNNNNNNNNNNNNNNNNNNNNNNNNNNNNNNNNNNNNNNNNNNNNNNNNNNNNNNNNNNNNNNNNNNNNNNNNNNNNNNNNNNNNNNNNNNNNNNNNNNNNNNNNNNNNNNNNNNNNNNNNNNNNNNNNNNNNNNNNNNNNNNNNNNNNNNNNNNNNNNNNNNNNNNNNNNNNNNNNNNNNNNNNNNNNNNNNNNNNNNNNNNNNNNNNNNNNNNNNNNNNNNNNNNNNNNNNNNNNNNNNNNNNNNNNNNNNNNNNNNNNNNNNNNNNNNNNNNNNNNNNNNNNNNNNNNNNNNNNNNNNNNNNNNNNNNNNNNNNNNNNNNNNNNNNNNNNNNNNNNNNNNNNNNNNNNNNNNNNNNNNNNNNNNNNNNNNNNNNNNNNNNGAAUAAAUUUUCUGACGUAACAUAGAUAGAUGUGGCAACAUAUGCCUCUGCAGAAGGAAGUGAAUGCUUCUCAGAUGUGCUAAAUAUGUUUAAUAUUCAUACAUUUAGUUGGAUGUUCUUGUAAUUAACUGUGCACUGUUUUCUAAUCCACAGUGAUUCAUCUUGCUCUGCAGUGCUAUUAAUAUCGUUCUUUUCCAUACAGUUAUCAGUUUGGAGAACAUCUGUAGUUUGUUUUAAUUCAUGUUCUGCUUAUUCCCAAACAGGCCAUCACUGCUCUGAAAAAGGGGGCACAAUUGCUCAAGUAUGGACGCAGAGGGAAACCCAAAUUUUGUCCUUUCAGGCUGUCCAAUGUAUGUCCAAUUGUAUUUGAAGAGCAACAUACAUUCUUUUAUCUAUUUUGCUUGUUUCUUUUUUCUCUAAAUUGCUUAUUGUUCUUUCUUGGUGGGAAAAGGCUUUGUUGUUGUUGUUGUUGCUUAUUGUUCUUUCUUGGAGUUUUCAAAUGUGAAUCAGAGUUUUUAUGAACGACUGGUCUUGCAUUCAUGCUUGUUUAUAUUGAUUAUCUAUUUCUUGCUUCACUAAGCUUAUGUUACGCCUUUAAGGUAUGUCAAAAGGGAUUUGCAGUGAAGUAUUUGAUGGCUUUAUAAUGUUUUAGACUUGUAUAUAGACUAUAGAGCAAUAGUCUCUAGUUAUAUCAUAUGUUUGGCAUGUUAUGCCUCUAGAUGGUGAAUUAGGUCUGGAUUGAUAGUCUAGCGAGAAAAAAUUACUUGGUAGAGUAAAGUAGGCAGGGCACAGUAAGUGAAGCGAAAUGUCUACAAUAUCUGUAUGCCUUAGGCAUUAUCUUUCAUAUUCCAGAACAAUUUGUUAAGAGUAAACUAGGCUGGGCUUAUAGGGUGAAACAACUCAAAAAAAUUUUCAUUUUUAAAGAAAAUGGUUACAGUUAACUGGAAUGUAGUGAGAAGGAUACCCCUAUGAGAAGUAACCAAGAAAUGGCUAUCAGAUUUGCUAGUACCUCUCCUUAAAGUAAUUUUGCUGGGUUCAGAGAGAGACUGGUCUCCAGUGCAUCUAUGGCUUACUUUUUUAAUAUGAUCCCAAGGCUACAUAUAGACAAACACCAUGAAAACCAUCGUAUAUGCUAUUGAUAUGAUUAAUAAAGUAAAAAACCUGAACAACUGGUUCACUCAGAGGGUUUAGACAGUGUGGAACAUAUUCUUCAUACUGCUCGGUAUUCACAUUCUACUAAAUCUGCUAUGUGGUGCUUGUUUCAGUUGAAUAUAGGAUUAGCAUCAUUAGUAAUAAGGUUUGGGUGCUUGCUCAUGUCUAGUUCUAACCUUCUUGAUGUUGCAGUAAAUUCUUCAUCUGAAGUUCUACUGUUACUCAGCCUUAAAAAACUAUUAUUCCUUUAUGAUAAUUUUGUUAAGCUUUAUGAAAUCUAAUAACAUGAUUUUUAUGAGUCAUUUAUUGCAGUUUCAAGUGAUGUACUGGGCAAAGAUAUUUGCCGUCUAUUCCAUUUUUUCGUUGGAUUUUCAAUGUUAUUCCAUGUUUCUUCUUUCAGGAUGAAUCUUUUCUAAUAUGGUACUCAGGGAAAGAGGAGAAAUAUGUUAAACUAACCCAAGUCUUCAAGAAUUGUACCUGGUCAGCGCACUGUAAGUUUCUCAUGUUGUGGUCUCCUACACCUCUUCAAUGGUGAAUACUUCAAUAGUAUGCCAGAUAUAGAUGACAAGAACAUACAAAUAGUAUAAAUCACUUAUUUGUUUUCCCGUAGAUUUAUCUUUAGUUCUUUCUAGAACUAUAUUUCCUCCAGAUUAUAUUUGGUUUCCUGUUGAUAAGGAUUUUAAUGUUGUAUUGCUUGUUUAAUUCUCUUUGUAAUUUAUUUCUCAGUUAUGAAUGUAACUGAACAUUUUGUUUUGAUAUUAUUGCAGCAAACCUUUCAGAGGUAUCCUCGGCCUGAAAAGGAAUAUCAGUCAUUUUCUCUUAUAUAUAAUGAUAGGUCUUUGGAUUUGUAAGCAUCUUCUUCGUUGUUGAUUUCUGCUGCAUCUGAUUCUUAGAUAUUUUGUUCUUUCUUUUCUUUUAUCCAAUCCAUUUACUUAUUUUCUUUUAACUUUCCUAUCUAUUAGUUAUGUAUCGUACCCCGUGUGCUCUUCCAUAAAUUUCAUUUACUUUUUUAAUGUCACUUGUUUAUGCCAGAUAUCAAGGAUAAAGAUGAAGCUGAAGUUUGGUUUACUGGUCUAAAAGCAUUAAUAUCACGUGCCUUCACCAGAAGCGGAGAGCAGAAUCAAGAAGUGGAGUUACAUCUGAGGCAAAUAGUCCUAGAUCACACACCCAACAAAGUUCUCCAUUGAGCUCUCCAUUUUGUAGUGGUGAUAGUUCGCAGAAGGUGAUCUAUUUUUGUUUCUCUUGUUAUUGCCAUCCCUAAACUGUGAUAUAGAAGUAAAUUGUCUUCUUGUCACUGCUGCAGGAUGGCGUGGAACCGUUUCAUCUUCAUGCUGCAUUUGAAAGCCCUCCUAAAAUUGGUUUAGAGAAGGCUUUAUCGGAUGUUCAUGUUGUAUGCCCUGCCUCCAAAAAUUCCCUUCCCUUCAGAUGCUUCUUGUGGCUCAGUCCCGUCUUCGGGAGGCUCAGAUGGAAUGAACGGACGAACAAAGGGUGCCGGUGUGGAUGCAUUUAGAGUAAGUUUAUCAAGUGCUGUUAGCUCAUCAAGUCAAGGCUCUGGUCAUGAUGAAGGUGAUGCUUUAGCUUUAGGGGAUGUUUUCAUUUGGGGGGAAGGCGUUGGUGAUUGCUUUCUCGGUGGAGGAUCACAUAGAGUUGGAAGUUCUUCUGGUUGUAAGAUGGAUUCUUUUGUGCCUAAAGUCUUGGAAUCUGCCGUAGUGCUUGAUGUCCAAAGCAUAGCAUGUGGUGGACGGCAUGCUGCUUUUGUAACCAAGCAAGGGGAGGUAUUUUCUUGGGGUGAAGAAUUAGGAGGCAGACUUGGACAAGGUGUGGAUGCUGAUGUUUCACAUCCAAAACUCAUAGAUGCUCUGAAAAACAUGAAUAUUGAAUUAUUAGCAUGUGGAGAAUACCUUCUUGUGCUGUCACACUUUCCGGUGACAUGUACACAUGGGGUGGCAGUAAUUCCCAAUUUUGCACUCCUUGGUCAUGGGUCUCAAUCAAGUCAAUGGGUCCCAAAAAGCUAAAUGGACCUUUAGAGGGAAUUCAUGUCUCAUCGGUUUCAUGUGGACCAUGGCACACAGCUGUUGUUGACCUCUGCUGGGCAACUGUUUACUUUUGGCGAUGGCACAUUGGUGUUCUAGGUCAUGGGAUCGAAAGAGCACUUCGGUGCCCAGGAGGUUGAUUCCUUAAAGUCUCCCCUUUCAGUCAACCAGGUCAACGUCCUAUUUGCAUUCUUUGCUCCAAAUUUUAUGUACACAAACGUUGGCAAAUAAUGUUCAUCGGCGAAACAGUAGCCUUUGCAUUUCAUGAACACUGGGAAGUAUAUUCGAUCCGAUACGAAUUCAAGGGCGAGGUCUCGAUCAGCCUGGAACCACCGCGACCCUUUUCGCCACUGAUCUAUUGUGAUUCCCCGGUAGUCACUCAGUUCAUACCGGCCGCGUCCUACUCCACUGGGAUCGUCAAAGACCUCAACGAAAGUUUGGGUGGAGUUCAUGAGGUAGGAGUAGACAGUGGAGAAGUUAUGGAGGGGAAUGCAUGAUUCUGAGAGCAGAACAAAACGCUGGUUUGAGACGUCGAGAAGAGCAUUCGCCAGGAGGAGGCGCUCUGCCGCGAUCAGGCUCACCUUCCCCCAUUCUACUCCCUGCAAUUAGUACAUGUUGUUGAACAGAAAAUAGUGAGAACAAUUGGCAGCCACCUAUGUUGUGGAAAUUAUUGAGAAUUACAAUUUAGAAACAAACUGGCUUUACAAUAUAGUUAUUAACACUCAUUGGUUAUAUUUAUCUACAUUUUACACCCUCAAAAGUCAGUUUUAAAAUGGACCAUAUGAAUUCAAUUUUUGCACGUCGUACUAUCAGGUCUAAAAUCUUAACAAUUUAUGAUUUAUAGUUAUCUGAUUGUAUGAUCGUUUAAUUAAACUAAUGAUCUGACAUACAUGGAGCUCACCUUGAGCUAAUGUGGAAGUCAACUAUGGAUCAAAAAAUAAAUAUCACAAAGUCUCGUCUUCACCUCAAUUUAUGCUUCGUUACACUAUAUAUGAUAUUUAAUUGCACGGUUUUAGUCUUAUUGCGGUUAGCGUGGCUAAUACUAACCCAAACACGGAUUCCACAUCUGUCAUGCCAUCAAUUUAACAGAGCAUAGACAGUAACAAACAAAAAAUUGUGAAAAAUUGAAAGUUGGUGACUUCUUAUAAAAUUUUACUCCAAAUAAUGCGGAGGAUGUAAAUGUAGGUAGUACAAUGUUAAUUUACUUCUGUGGUUUUAUAGUCUGUGUGACGAAACUUGAGUAAUAAUUUCAAUUCUGAAAAAAAAAAUCACAGAAAUAUAGCUUUUACUUAGUGCAGACAAAAGCGGAAAAAAACUAACCUGACUUGGAAUUCGCCGGCCACCAAAAACUGGGGUUUCGGUGUACAAUGAGUGAUUGUAGGACGGACUUGAGUGCACAUAAAUUGAGUACAAACCUUGAUGCCCGGCAAAGAACUUCUCCCACAGUGGUGCCAAAACAACAGGGCCCUUUGUCAAGAACAUGAAAGCAACUUUUGGAACAAAAUGGAAUGGAUAUUCAGGAAUCUGCGGAGUUAUAGAAGCUCUCCACAGCAGUUCUGCAUUGUUCAUGUCGUGAAAUGCGUUCGGUGGCUUCAGAUAAUCCUUCAACCCUGUCCGCGGAGGACUUGACGAAACAGAUGUUGUUGGGGAGGUUGCAUUUGGCAUUCGGGUUCUUGAAAUAUUGGUUGGAGGAGGAGGUGACAUAGGUGAGAAGGGGAUACUUCUGUGGCUGAGUUUUAAUUAAAAUAUGGUUUUCAUUGUGUAAUAUUUGUUGCUUGACAUUUACAGAUUGGUCCCCUCCGUUGUUGGCCCGGGGGGUUAUGCCUUUCUAGGUCAAUUGGAGACAUGGAUGUUGGGGAGUUUAUAGUUCCAAUACCAUAUGUGAAACAAGUCAAGGUAUCUUCCACUGCGUGGAAAUUAAAUUUUUAACUUGGUUUUAUUAAAUUCAAUGCCAAGUAUUGUUUAGCCUGAAAGCUAACAUUCUUAUAUCGUUUUAAAAGCUAUCAAAUGCCGGUGGGAGGCUUAUAAUUGCUUCGGAUGGCAUCUGGGGAUGCUAUAUCUUCCGAAAUGGCAGCACAGUCUUGCCGUGGGUUGCCAGCUGAACUUGCUGCUAGACAAGUUGUGAAGGUUGUUUGAACUACUUGGCCUUUUUCUUGCAAUAUGCAUGUAUAAUCUCAAAGGCUGGAACUCUUUCUUAUUGAUGAUGGAUUGUGUUGUAGGAGGCAUUAAGGUCAAGGGUCUAAAGGAUGAUACAACCUGCAUAGUUGUUGACAUAAUCCCUCCUGAUACUACGGUAGAGCCCUCAACUCCGCCAAAAAAGAUUAACAAGUUUAGGACCCUUUUUUUCAGAAAGAAAUCGCGUGCUUCUGCUAAUAAACUAUCCAAGAAGCUAUCGGCUGUGGGUAUUGUUGAGGAGUUAUUUGAAGAAGGGUCUGCUAUGCUUGCUGAAAGGUAGUUGAUUCUCUCUUCACUCAAUUUAGUUGAUUCGAUGCAAAGUUUCUUGAAGAGUUUCACACUCCGCUUGUCUACUAAAAUUGGAAAAGAAAAUUUUCAAUGAUGUCAUUAAUUUUAGUCUUGUAUAGCAUAUCGAAGUGGAGUUUCAUAUAUAGGUAUCAUAAACCUUAUUGUUGAGUUGCAAGUUCAAAUUGCGGGUUGGCUUCUUGUGAAAUGUGGUAUUUUGGUAUCGUGUAUUUGGUUGCUCCUGGAAAUGAUUAUCAAUGUCAAAUGUGUUGCAGGUUGGGCAGCGAUGAGUGCACAUCACAAUCAACAUCUGGGCUGUUCAUGUGUGCUGUAUGCCAAGUUGACCUUGCACCGAGCGAGGGCAUAUCGGUUCACGCGGGUUCUAUCUUCUCAACCAGUUCAAAGCCUUGGCAAGGGCCGUUCCUCUGUUCUGAUUGUCGUAACAAGAAGGAUGCCAUGGAAGGAAAACGCCCUAGCGGAGUCAGAGUAGCAUAGGUAGCUUGUGCAUUGUUUCGCCACCAUUCUUUUAACCCUUUAUUCCCUUUGUUUGAUAAUCCGUCUUCGUAGGCCAGCCAAUAUUGUUUGAAUCUUUACUUUAGUGAUACAUGAAAUGUAUAUGUAAAUUUGAUAAGUAAUUUGGAAUGAGUUGUAGAAGUUGAGGAAGGUCUUGUGCAAGGAAACCUCUUUCGAUUCUAUUUUGUUGGGGUAUUGGGCAAAGCAAAAGUGUGUCGAACUCGAAUACAAUAAUCGUUACUAAAAGUAAAUUAACAAAUGAACGGAAGUGAUUUUCUUUUGAUUUGUUCAAUCCUAAGGCUAGAAAAACAGAGAAACACGAAAUCACUUCUAUAUUGUAUAACUGAAUUUUCCAAGUUAGGUCUUGAUUCUAUAUUGUGUGCGAGUCUCUGAAUCAAUAAUAUGUUGCUGUGAAGAAAUAAUACAAGUAGGUUAUUCAAAAGCCUUGAGUUGCUAUUGCUAUUGUAUUAUAUUGUUAACACACAACAGAAUGGCUCUGUUUCUUUUCUCUGCUCUCGUUCACUCUUCAAAAGCAGGACACAUCCUCCUGAAUGUGGAUUGUUCACUGUUGAUUGUUCUGACCAACUUCGUCCGAGGAUCCAACUGAAAGAGGGAGGAUACUGACAUGAAUUCGAAGGCCCUCUAUCAUCUUCGAUUUUUAUCAAAAACACGGCUGCAUGAGCACUUUGGAAGAAAUUCCUGCGAGGAUGAAGUUUUCGACGACUUGAAUUGGAUGAAGAAAUUCGUUUGCAGAGUGUUAGGAACGAAGAAGACAAAGUAAGAGCGAGGAAGAUGAUCUUAGAGAGCUUUUGGUCCAUAUAAACUGAUCCUUCAAACCAGCCAGCGAUGAAAGAAGUAUAGAUAUGUUGGAAGGGAGCAUUGAUUCAUUGCAGAAACCAUACAAGCCUCACUUGUCUUCUCCUCCAAAGAUCAUACGGUUUUAGGCUUUUAGCACCCAAAAAACGAAAAAAAAAAAAGCAGAGGGUUUGAUUUAUCCCCCAAAAAAACCAUCUACAUUCUACAGUCCACUCGGGAGCAAGCAAAGAAACAAGACUUGGCAAGUAAGCAAUUCACAGAAUCACAGGGAAGACAAUGAAGCUAUGAUCAGUUUUACCAUGUCAUGUGAGCAUUUAUUUCAUUUUAUAUCAAGAUCAUUAGGGCCUAUUGCAAAUUCAUGUCCAAUCCAACCUUAUCUUAAAUUUAAUGUUGAAGCCUCGUUUGGUAUGAAGGAUAAGAUUGGAAUGGAUAAUUUUCUAAUUUCAAGGUACUAGUAGGGCAUAAAUGAAAAAAUUAUGUCCAUUGAUGUGAGGGUUACCGUGUCAAAACAAGUCAUGCAAAACGUCAGCAAAAUGCAUGCCAUAACUUGCUGGUCUAGGCUGCUCUUCCAUGUGCUUGACUCGUCUAUGUUGCGGCUGCUGGUUGAGCUUGAGUCGGACUGAGUGACUACUUUUCUCUGUCCUUCGUGGUGCUGCCUACUCCGAUGUAAGGUAAAUGAUGCUCCUUGUGGGCCUAACCGCGAAAUGAACACUUCACAUGGAAGGUUGCUCAUGUUGACUAUCGGGAUGUGGCCCCAACAGUGAAUGUAUGCUCGUCCAUGGGCCUAGUCGAGAGUGCACGCUCAUCUGCAUGCUAAGACAGGAGUAUACACUAUCUCGGGGGCCCAAUCGGGAAUGUACAUUGCCCGAACUCUCGAUUCGUGGCUACUUGCUGCGACGCUGCUGGAGAGGUUAUUUAUUUGCCCUUAUCCUACUUCAAGACAUCUCGUCUAGGGCACGUUGCAUCUCAGUGCACUGCAAUAGCUGAUUCAUCAAGGUCGUCUGCUGUGCAAGGGCACUCGUCAACUCUAUAACUUGUCGAGACAAGUGUUGUUCUCCAUUUGGGUUGGAAGAGCUUGGAAGGAAUGCGUCUCAUUUAGUAGUAGAAGUGUGGCAGACUCCGGGCGCAAGAUUUGAGUUGGGAAAUGUCAAAUCCGCAGAUAAAUGUGGUGAAAAUGCCUUUGGUUCAAUUGUAGGCCUAGAAAUUUGAAGCAGGGACAGUUGAACUAAUCUUGGAUCGAUUUGGGUUGCUUGGAAGGCCAUGAGAGCAGGCUGGGCCACGGGAGUAGGUUACUCAGCGUGUGGCACACGUGGGUGUGAGGCUAGGGCUUGAUUUUGGCAACGCGUUGGGUUUGGGCGGCUCGGGCUGGCUAGGGCUUGGGCUCUUGAAGGUUUAAGUGGCACGACUUGGGUCAUGGCCUUGGCGCCAUGGGUUUUGCCGAGGGUGGCCACCGUGGUGGUUGCCACGGCGGUUCCCCGUGGGGGUGGUGCCGCUCCACUCAUCGUUGUGUUGAGCCUUGUAGAUCGCCGCGGUCCUAAUUCUUGAAUGUUGAAAUUUCAAUUUGUCAAGGUUUCCUAAUCCCUUGCCAUUGUACUUUUCUUCGAAUAAUUUUUAGAAAUAAAAAUUCCAAGAAUAAGAGCGUACAAAAAAUUUACAAAUGAACAAUAAAACGAAAAACCUUGGAUGCAAGAGUCUUCUACUAGUGUGUGACUCAACUCUCAAUGAAAGCACAAAUUUGUGGAUGCAAAUUUCUUCCUUCUUGUUCUUGGACGAAAAUGCCCAUGCAAAAACAAUUAACACUUUAGGUCAAGGCCAAAAGCCUCAUGCGCUUACAAUGAAUAGGGGGCUUUGGCCGAAGAACCUCUGAUGCCAAAGUUAGAAUUUUGAGAGAAAAGUGUUUAGAGAAUUUUGCAAGAGGAUUCAACUUAGGUUUUUGGAGAAAUAAGGUGAUAUUUAUAGGGAUGUGGCCGGCCCCUUUUGGAGAGGUGGGAACCGGCCACCUUUGGUGGUUUUUGGGUGUAAUUGCAAGAUAUUAUGUCACCAUAAUAUCUUGCAAUCAAUUAGGAAAUUAAUUAAUAAAUUAAGGUAAUUAAUCAUAUUUUGAAUGAAUAUUUGGAUGUUACCUUGUGGGGAGCAUUUGAUGAAGAUAGAUGAAAUAAGUUUUGAAUAAAUACCUAUUUUGAUCACUUUUGAUCUUGAUUGAAUGGUAAUUGUCCGCUGCUCACGCAUAGGAGUUCCGAUGUGUCUCGAGGUAAUCCUGUCUUUUUACCCAAAAAUCCACGUGUCGCCUCCAUAUUUUUCUUAAUUAUUUUUGGCUCCACAAUGUCCAAUCCAAUUUUGUUGUAAAUUUAAUAUUGAAGCCCCGUUUGGCAUUUAGUAUAAGAUUGCAUUGAUAAUUCUCUAAUUUCAAGGUAUUAUUAGGGGAGAAAUAAAAAAAUUAGAGUAUUGAUAGACCCACCCUAUUGUCUUAUUUUCCUACCCACGUUAUAAUCUCACACACUAUAAAAAUUUAAAAUUUUGAAAUCCUAUUUGUCCAUUCACUAUAAUUCCUAAAAUAACCUUCACCACAGUUCUAUUUGUCACAUCGCGGCCCGAGCCCCCACCACAUUCGGGCUCGACUUCACCAUAGCAUGAUAUUGUUCGUUUUGGGCCCCGACCACGCCCUUACGGUUUUGUUUCUGGAAACUCACAUGAGAACUUCCCACUGGUCACCCAUCAUGGGAUUGCUCUCGCGCAAACUCUCUUAACUUCGGAGUUCCGAUGGAACCCGAAGCCAGUGAGCUCCCAAAAUUCAUCGUGCUAGGUAGAGAUGAGAAUAUACAUAUAAGGUAUAGAUGAUCCAUUAUCCUGAACGAUGUGGGAUGUAAAAAAAAAAAAACAAAUUCACCUAUACUUUCAGUAUGCCUUGAUGUUAUAAAAUUAUCCAUUACAAUCCAAUUUUACAUACUAAAUGUUUAUACCAUAUUUAGGGCCUCGUAUUUAGAUCUCGUACAAAUACUCAGGGGACUUAAAUGUAAUUAUGGGAUAAAGGAAGGGGCAAAUAUGUAAUAAGUGAGGAGUCCUUAUUCUAUAAAAGGACCCCUCACCCUCACAAUUAGAGAAGGCCUCACUCUCACUCUCAGAGGCCAUUUCUGAAGCCUCUCACCCCCUCUCAAAGCUUCCUCACACCCCCUAAGCUCUAAGCUCUCUCUCUCCCUCUUCAACAGAGAAAUACAAUACAAUCAGUGUGGACGUAGCCCAAACCUUGGGGUGAACCACGAUAUAUCUUGUGUUAUUUACAUUUCAUGCAGAUUCACGGUCGGAUUUACGUUGUUCCAAGACCAUCCGGUUUUGUGCAUCAACAUUUGGCGCCGUCUGUGGGAAACGAUACGAAACGUUAUGUCGGUUCUCUUUCAUUUUUUCAUCUCCGUCGUGAAUCUGCAAAAUUUUGCAAAAACCCAGAAACAGAAAAGAUCUAGAUCUCAAAAUCACUCAUCUCUCUCUCUGGAAAACACAUUGAAGCUAAACAAAAACCCCACUUCUCGAUACACAGACACACUUUGUCUGUCUCUCUCUCUAAUCUAAUCCCUCAGCAAAAACAAAAAAAAGAUCCAGAAGAAAAAGAAAGAGAUUCCAUCGUCUCAACCGUCAUCAUCAUCUGCUCCGCAGCCCCACCAAUCCUCCGCCGCACCCCAAUCUUUCCAUCGUCUGAUCGCUGUCAACGUCCCCAACGAAGAGGACGAGAUCGUUUUCGCAGCUCCUAGCUCCCGCCGCCUCUGUGAGAUCAGACACCCAUUCAAUCAGCACAUGAGAAGAGAGAACGAGAUCAAGUUGCAAUCCACGUUUGGCCAAAAUCUUCAGAGCAGAGACCAAAAGUCGGAGCAACUAACAGAGGAGCAGAUCGCCGAGUUCAAGGAAGCUUUUUGCCUCUUUGACAAAAGAUGGCGAUAGUUGCGUCACUACCAAAGAGUUGGGGACUGUGAUGAGAUCUUUGGGACAGAAUCCCACUGAGGCUGAAUUGCAGGACAUUAUCAGUGAAGUUGAUGCUGAUCAGAAUGGCACAAUCGAUUUCUCCGAGUUUCUGAAUUUGAUGGCGAGGAAGAUGAAGCUGUCAUUAGAGGUCGAAAAAUCAGGUGAUGGGUCCAUCGCGAUCUUUGACUCUACCCCGAUAUCGGCAAGAAAGCCAGAGAUCUUCUUUACAACGAUUACCAGAGCAACCAUAAGUUCACUGUCACCACUUACACUUCCACCGGAUUUUCAAUCAGUUCGAUCGGAAUCAGGAAGGGUGAUCUAUAUUUGGGGGAUGUCAGUACUCAGCUGAAGAACAAGAACAACGCCAACUGCUGCUGCGACAGCGCCAUCCACCUUUGCUUGGCUCGCUAUCUGUGAGAAGAAUGUCUCGUCAGACGAAAGUUCCCAAAUUCCAGAGAGAUCGACAAUGAAGCAGCAAUCCAAGGACCCAUUCGAAGCGGCAUUCGAGGAGCAAGAAGACGACUCACCGCUCGAUUCUCCGGCCGUCGCUGAAGCCACAAGCGCCGCCUUUGGUGCCCUAGAAGAGGACGACCCUCUUCUUGUUCCUAGCCUGUCAUCUUCCUCCGCGCCAUCAGCUGCAGCGCCAAAAGCAAUAGCAGUUACCAGAAAAGUUCUCUCUUUUCUUUUGCUUUUGUUUCACAAAGUCUCUUUUCCUUUACAGAAAAGAAAAAUGAGGAGUGAGAAUGGAUGGGCACGACCAGGCUGUCCAAGAAAAGCAAGUGGGUUUACAAGCAAAGAUACCUUACAAAGCAACAUGGGUGGACAGAGAAGGAGUGGAGAGAUAAACAAAGGCAAAUGGGUGGUGUCUGUCCUAGCAAUUGUCAUUCUAGAGAAAAGCAAUGAAAGCAAUGGCAAUUAAAAACUUAAACUCAGAUGGUCUCCAAAGGCCAUAAAACAUGGGUGGACAGAUAUAAUUGCGGAAGACCAGAGAUAAUUGCGGGAGACUCAUGGAUCAUGCAGAAAGGAAAAGCAGAAAGGAAAAGAAAAAGUAAAAGAAAAAGCUUCUGCAGCCAUCUGCUAUUCCACUACCCAACUUUCAAUUGUGCAGAUACUAUCCCAUUAUCCAACCAUCUGUCAUACCCACCUUCUACAACAAUAUUUAUGAAUGAUGUAAUUUUUUUUUUAUCUCUCAGAGACAUCUGUAUAAACCCCAUCAGAGGGUAAUAAUACAAAAAAAAAAAAAAAAAAAAAAAAAAGCGGCAAAGCCCAAAAUUAAUGGGCUGGCAUGUCGUGGAGGGCGAAGGCCCAUAAGCCCAAAAUAGCACCAACCAGGUGACCAAAAGUAUGCCCAGUACUCCAAAAAUUAUUCGACAACUUGCCUCUAUUAUCACCAACCAGGUGAUCAAAAGUACGCCCAGUACUUCAAGUCAUACAUGAGCAUUACUCAUGUCAAUCAUACAUAAAUAUUCAUGAGCAUCACUCAUCCAAUCAUACAUAAACAUUCAUGAGCAUCACUCAUGUCAACAUUCAUGAGCAUCACUCAUGUCAACAUCCAUGAGCAUCACUCAUGUCAAUCAACAUAAACAUCCAUAAGCAUCACUCAUGUCAACAUCCAUGAGCAUCACUCAUGUCAAUCAACAUAAACAUGCAUGAGCAUCACUCAUGUCAAAUCAGCUUCAAAGACUUCAUUUACAGAGCUCUAGCUUCAAAAGCUUCAUUUACAAGAGCUCUAGCUUCAAAGACUUCAUUUACAGAGCUCUAGCUUCAAAAGCUUCAUUCACAAGAGCUCUAGCUUCAAAAGCUUCAUUUACAGAGCUCUAGCUUCAAAAGCUUCAUUUACAAGAGCUCUAGCUUCAAAAGCUUCAUUUACAGAGCUCUAGCUUCAAAAGCUUCAUUUACAAGAGCUCUAGCUUCAAAGACUUCAUUUACAGAGCUCUAGCUUCAAAAGCUUCAUUUACAAAAGCUCUAGCUUUAAAAGCUUCAUUUACAAGAGCUCUAACUUCAAAGACUUCAUUUACAGAGCUCUAGCUUCAAAAGCUUCAUUUACAGAGCUCUAGCUUCAAAGACUUCAUUUACAGAGCUCUAGCUUCAAAAGCUUCAUUUACAAAAGCUCUAGCUUUAAAAGCUUCAUUUACAGAGCUCUAGCUUCAAAGCUUCACUUGCAAAGCUUCACCUACAAAGCUUCAGUGCAAGGUAUACAAAUAUCGCCUCCUAACAACCGCCACUUCGGCCCAUACAUGGAUUCAAUUUGAAGUCUCCAGCCAACAGACUCUAUUGACCGAAGACUUGGGGGACUACAUUAUGUACCAUAUAUUGGGCCUCAACUGGGCCUCAUGAAAAAUACUUGGGGGACUCUAGCCCAUUAUUUAUGUAUUAAGGAGCGAACCCUUAUUCUAUAAAAGGGACUCCCUCACUUUCAUUGAAAGAUCACCCAUGAUUUAUGUAUUGAGGAGCGAGCCCUUAUUCUAUAAAAGGGACUCCCUCACCACCAUUAGAGAGCAUCGUCGCCUACUGAGCAACCGUCUCACUGCAAGCAUCAACUCUAACCCAUCACUUAUGUAUUGAGUAGAGAGCCCUUAUUCUAUAAAAGGGACUCCCUCACCUUCAAACGCCACAAGCCGAGCCAACCAAGGCAACACAAGCUACAAGCAGAGCGGCCUCGCAACAUGUGCUACUUCUAGUUGAGCAUCAUUUCAGAUUGGGCACCGCCUCAUAUCAAGUAUUAGUUCUAGACGACAUCUAGUUACUUCGGCCCACACAUGGACUGAAUUUCAAGUCUCCAGCCAAAAGACUCUCUUGACUGAAGACUUGGGGGACUACUGUUUAUACCAUAUUUAGGGCCUCGUAUUUAGAUCUCGUACAAAUACUCAGGGGACUUAAAUGUAAUUAUGGGAUAAAGGAAGGGGCAAAUAUGUAAUAAGUGAGGAGUCCUUAUUCUAUAAAAGGACCCCUCACCCUCACAAUUAGAGGAGGCCUCACUCUCACUCUCAGAGGCCAUUUCUGAAGCCUCUCACCCCCUCUCAAAGCUUCCUCACACCCCCUAAGCUCUAAGCUCUCUCUCUCCCUCUUCAACAGAGAAAUACAAUACAAUCAGUGUGGACGUAGCUCAAACCUUGGGGUGAACCACGAUAUAUCUUGUGUUAUUUACAUUUCAUGCAGAUUCACGGUCGGAUUUACGUUGUUCCAAGACCAUCCGGUUUUGUGCAUCAACACUAAACAAGCCCGUCUUUCGUAGUAUCUAACAACAUUUUCUACCCGCAUUACUGACUAAGGAAUGAAAAUUAUGCAAUUUUUGGUCUUCGCCGUGGAUCCCAGAUACGUCUUUGCCGUGGAUCACAGAAAGUGUGCAAUUUUUGGUCUUUACCCUCAUUUUCUACACGCAUUUUGACCAAGGUUGCAUCAAGUCAACCUAAAUCACCUACCAAUAUCUCAACAUUAUUAUUAUUAUUAUUAUUAUUAUUUCAUUUUGACCAAGGUUACAUCAAGUCAACCUAAAUCACCUUCCAAUAUCUCAACAUUAUUAUUAUUAUUAUUAUUUUUUGGUGAACAUAUCUCAACAUUAUUAGUAUACCGUAAUUCGCUCUUAUCUCUCUCUCUCUCUCUCUCUCUCUCUCUCUCUCUCUCUAAAAUUUACAAUGAAUCAAAACCUUUGCAUCUUCAUUCUGAUCUUCCUUCUGAUCUUCCUUCUCUCAUCAGAAACCCCAGCAUUUGCAGUGGACUUUUACUACCAAAACUGCAGCGUCCCCACAACUUGUGGCCGCCAAAAAAUCAGCCACCCGUUCUACAUCCAAGGCAGGCAACAAGACUUCUGCGGCUACCCCGGUUUCCAGCUCUCCUGCCAGGGCGGCGCAGACGACGACGAAGAAGAAGCCUACCCACUUCUCCGGUUGUCUGGAAACGAUUACAUAAUUCACAACAUCAGUUACGAAAGCCAGACUCUUGUCGUCUCAAAUGCUCUACUUUCGCACUACUUGGACAACUCUUCCUGCACUAAUCUCUCACUGAUCCAUAAUUUAACCCUCCCUAAUGAACAGUUUGAGCUGGGUCCAAACCAAGAUCAGUUCUUUCUGCUCUACAACUGCAGCCCUUCGUUAGUCGAUUAUUUUCCAAAGUACAAGAUUGGUUGUAAUAACACUUCGGUUCUUGCUCUGCCUCGGCAGAUAUAUCCGAAAUUUGGAGGUCUUGUGGAUGUUGAAAAUUGUGGAUCGAGUGAGGUGGCGGUGGCGCAUGGUGGAGGGUAUGGCAAUGAUGAGGCGGCGGGAAUGAAGGAAGUGUUGGGAAGAGGGUUUGAGAUGAAAUGGAUGGCUGGUGACUGCAGCCGCUGCCAGAGGAGUGGAGGGCUAUGUGGGUUUAACUUCACCACCCACCUUUUUAGGUGCCUCUGCCCCAAAAGGACCCAUUACGUGAGCUGCGAGAAGGAAAAUGACGAAGGUUAACUCUCUCUCUUUGUUCACUCUUUUUCUCAUUUUUUUUAACAUGAACUAUGAAAUGUUAGAUAAUUACUACGCGGCAUACAUGAUUUAGGCCAAUUAAUUAACGCAGUAUGUUGCUUUGUUACACUCAAAUUCAAAUUCACCUCUACAGAUUAGAGUACUUUAGAAUAUCGUUUAAUUUUGAUACAAAGAUAAUUGGUAUGGGAUAAUUGUCCCACUUGCCCAACUCUCCUGUGCAAAAAGUUGAAAAAUCUCAUCCAGUCUAACUCCUACCAUGAAUUAGAUUUCAAAGGAAAAAAGGGUGGCUGCUGGCUGGAAGUUGAAUAUAGUCACGUCUAAUCAAAUAUUAAAGAGAAGAUCGUCCGUGAAGUCAAAUCUGAACCUCACAACGUCCUCACAACGUCACGAUUUAAAAAAUAUCCUUCACGAUUAUUUGUGAUAAAAACUAUUUGAAACUUAGUCACAUAAUCUUAUUGUUAGUGUGUGUAAUUCUGUAUUAAUCUAGUUGUCCUAACCAAAAUUUUAAAUUUGGUUUUUGAUUAUGAUAUGAGAUAAUGAUCAUUGUGCAGGACCUGGAACUGGAAACUUAGUCGCUAAAGUCUCAAUAGGUAAUUAUAACUUGCUUAGAUUAGUUUUUCUAAGUUUAUGUGUUGUAAUAAGGUUUAUAGCAUGUCUGCAAUGGCUACCAUUCGAUCGAAUAAAUCACCAUAUUCACCGUAUAUUUAUCAGGUGCAGUUGCUGGUCUCAUAUUUCUAAUCGUUAUUGUUUGCUGCUUAAGAAGAAAGUUGUCAUCAUACAGAUUUCUUUUCUUUCGGAAGAAGCAAACCAGAAUCGUCAAAUUGUAGAGGCCUUUCUAAGGAGCUACGGGCCGCUUCAAGUCCGAAGGUAUAGCUAUUUGGAGGUCAAGAACAUGACCAACUCCUUCAAAGAAAAAUUAGGACGUGGAGGCUAUGGUGCUGUUUACGAAGGAAAGUUAAAGGACGGCUGUCUUGUAGCAGUGAAGGUCUUGACCAAACUAACAGGAGAUGGAGAAGAAUUUAUGAAUGAAGUGGCAGCCAUUAGUAGAACUUCCCAUGUCAACGUCGUCACCUUGUUAGGCUUUUGUUUUGAGGGUUCCAAAAGAGCUCUCAUCUAUGAAUUCAUGCCUAAUGGAUCCCUAGAGAAAUUCAUAUUUGAUUCAAAUACUCCCAAUAUAGGUCAUGAUCACUUGGGAUGGGAAGCAUUGGAUCAAAUUUCACUUGGCGUUGCUCGAGGUUUGGAGUAUUUACAUCGUGGUUGCAACACAAGAAUUUUGCAUUUCGACAUCAAGCCUCACAACAUUCUUCUCGAUGAAAACUUCACGCCAAAAAUCUCGGAUUUUGGCCUUGCCAAAAUAUGCAACAAGAAAGAGAGUAUUGUCUCGAUGUUGGGCGCUAGAGGUACAGCAGGUUACAUUGCUCCAGAAGUAUUUUCUAGAACUUUGGAAAGGUCUCACACAAGUCGGAUGUGUACAGCUAUGGAAUGAUGCUUUCGAAUAUGGUUGGGGGAAGUAGGAACACAGACGAUGAAGCUGAAAAUACAAGUGAAAUAUAUUUUCCACAUUGGAUUUACCAACGUCUUGAAUUGGACGAAGAGCUUGGUAUGCAGAGUAUUACGAACGAGGAAGAUGAAGCAAGAGCAAGGAAGAUGAUGAUAGUGAGCUUGUGGUGCAUACAAACUGAUCCUUCAAACCGGCCAGCGAUGAAGGAAGUGAUAGAUAUGUUGGAAGGGAGUGUUGAUUCGUUGCAGAUACCUCCCAAACCUUACUUGUCUUCUCCUCCAAAAUCCCCAGCAGAUUCUUCUACAGCAUUGGUAUCAAUGAAGUAGAAACCUUGUAUUUUACUUGAACAAAUCUAUGUUUUUCUGAGGCAAUCUAAAUAAUGAAGCAUGCGUUUCAUGUUUGUUUUGUUUUUGUUUUUAUUUUUUACUCUAUAUAUGAAUCAACACAGUAGGAGUGACCCUAUUACUACCCCUCCUGCAAUCAUCUAUAAAUAAAUAUUAGUAAUGUGAAACAUUUGCAUUUGUGGGUCAGACCAGUUGACCAAGGCAGCGUGCCCGUUUCAUCUCCCUGGUUUAAUCAUAGGCCCAAAAAUUUGAAGCUGGGACGGUUGAACUAAUCUUGGACCGAUUUUGGUUGCUUGGAAGGCCACGAGAGCAAGUUGGGCCACGGGAGUGGGCUGCUCAGCAAGUGGCGCACAUGGGUGCGAGGCUAGGGCUCGACUUGGCAACGUGUUGGGCUCGCGUUGGGUUUGGGCGACUCGGGCCGGUUAGGCUUGGGCCCUUGAAGGUUUAAGUGGCACAACUUGGGCUUGGGCUUGGCCUUGGUGACGUGGGUUUUGCCGAGGGUGGCCACCGUGGUGGUUGCCACACCGGUGCCUCGUAGGGGUGGUGCCACUCCACUCAUCAUUGUGUUGAGCCUUGUAGAUCGACGUGGUCCUAAUUCUUGAACGUUGGAAUUUCCAUUCAUCGAGGUUUCCAAAUCCCUUGCCAUUGUACUUUUCUUCGAAUAAUUUUUAGAAAUAAAAAUUCUAAGAAUAAGAGCAUACAAAAAAUCUACAAAUGAACAAGAAAACAAAAAACCUUGGAUGCGAAAGUCUUCUACUAGUGUGUGACUCAACUCUCAAUGAAAACACCAAUUUGUGGAUGCAAAUUUCUUCAUUCUUGUUCUUAGACGAAAAUGCCCCAGCAAAAACAUUUAACACUUUAGGUUAAGGUCAAAAGCCUCAUGUGCCCACAAUGAAUGGGGGGAGCUUUGGCCAAAGAACAUCCGAUGCCAAAUUUAAAAUUUUGGGGGAAAAGUGUUUAGAGAAUUUGGAGAAUUUUGUAAGGGGAUUCAACUUAGGUUUUUUGAAGAAAUAAGGUGGUAUUUAUAGGGUUGUGGCCGGCCCCUUUUGGAGAGGUGGGAACCGGCCACCUUUGGUGGUUUUUGGGUGUAAUUGAUUAGGAAAUUAAUAUCUUGCAAUCAAUUAGGAAAUUAAUUAGAAAAUUAAUUAAUUAAUUUAGGUAAUUAAUCCUAUUUUGAAUGAAUAUUUGGAGGUUACCUUGUAGGGAGGAUUUGAUGAGGAUGAAUGAAAUAAGUUUUGAAUAAAUACCUAUUUGGAUCACUUUUGACCUUGAUUGAGUGGUAAUUGUCCGUUGCUCACGCAUAUGAGUUCUGAUGUGCCACGAGGGUAAUCUUGUAUUUUUACCAAAAAAUCCACGUGUCGCCUCCAUAUUUUUCUUAAUUAUUUUAGGCUCCACAAUGUCCAAUCCAAUCCUUUCUUAAAUUUAAUAUUGAAGCCCUGUUUGGUAUUUAGGAUAAGAUUGCAUUGAUAAUUCUCUAAUUUCAAGGUAUUAUUAGGGGAGAAAUAAAAAAAUUAUGUCCAACUUGGGUUAGAAGACGGAUUACCAUGAAGAAAACUUAUACAAUGUAGUCAUCUCCAAAAUGAGAGAAUUAGGAGGGAUGAGUUUUUUUUUCAUAUCUAGUAGUUUUCUAUUCCGUUCUCUGUAAAAAAAAAAAAACAAAUUCAUUUAUACUUUCAACUUAUACUUUCAGUAUGCCUUGAUGUUGUAAAAUUAUCCAUUACAAUCCAAUUUUACAUACUAAACAAGCCCGUUUUUCCUAGUAUCUAACAACAUUUUCUACCCGCAUUACUGACCAAGGAAUGAAAAGUACGCAAUUUUUGGUCUUUGCCGUGGAUCCCAGAAAGUAUGCAAUUUUUGGUCUUUGCCCACAUUUUCUACACGCAUUAUUGACCAAGGUUACAUCAUUUCUCUCUCUCUCUCUCUUUAAAAUUACUGUACUGUUAUUCGUUCUCAUUUCUCUCUCUCUCAAAUUUACAAUGAAUCAAAACCUUUGCAUCUUCAUUCUGAUCUUCCUUCUCUCAUCAGAAACCCCAGCAUUUGCAGUGGACUUUUACUACCAAAACUGCAGCGUCCCCACAACUGGUGGCCGCCUAAGCAUCAGCUAUCCGUUCUACAUCCAAGGCAGGCAACAAGACUUCUGCGGCUACCCUGGUUUCCAGCUCGCCUGCCAGGGCGGCGCAGACGACGACGAAGAAGCCUACCCACUUCUCCGGUUGUCUGGAGACGAUUACAUAAUUCACAACAUCAGUUACGAAAGACAGACUCUUGUCGUCUCAAAUGCUCUACUUUCGCACUACUUGGACAACUCUUCCUGCACUAAUCUCUCACUGAUCCAUAA
rnacentral:lncRNA from 1 species